rnacentral:lncRNA from 1 species
UUUUUUUUUUUGUAGUUGGUGGCAAAUCGGAGUCGAUUGAUUGGGACGCUAGAAUAGAAUAGCGCUAGCAUACGACAGGUAACGAAAGGAUAUGCACGAAUUCUUACCUUUAAGUUGUGUAUAGAAGGUAUAAUACAAAAGAAGAGGUAUAAUACAAAAGAAGAAAAUCAAAAAAUAACAGAAGAGUAUUUCUUCCUCUCUUCUUUUUUCGGUUGUUGGUGGCGAAUAAUCGGGCCGAUUGAUUGUGACGCUAGAAUAGAAUAGCGAAUAGCAUAACCAGUUUGGUACGACGAUGCACCCAAAUUCUUACUUUCAAGUUGUUUGAGGUAGAAUUGCCGAUUAGUUGUAGUCCCCUGUGUUUUGAUCACAGAGCCAUGCCCAUGACAAGCCUGUGAUGCUACUACGAUACCAUGCUAUGACACUCGAGUGGUGUUGGGUCACGGUGACCAGAGCGCUCGGGCUAAUUACCUAGAACACAAUAAAUAUGCAGGUGCUCAUGUACACGUGCACCCAACUCGCUAUGUAUGUGCAGCUGAGUCACACAUUUAUGUAUGUAAUGUAACAGGCGUGCAAUUUCUAGAACAUUUUAACCACUAGCUAUGUUUUCUCAUAAUUAUGGAACGGAACAUUUUGGUAAUUUGGUUGGUCCUUGGAUAGUCGUCCAACUGUUGUUUUCAAUCAGCCAAGAAUAGGUAUAGCAUAUUUCUUUGCCGCUCUAGGUAUGGGGCUACAGAUUAGGCUGGACGUAAUACGGAAGGGUCGGAGGAAUUAAAAAGAAAGAAAGGAGUACAUUUUUUACCGUUGAACUAUCACGUGAGUUUGGUUUUAGCCAUCCAGAAUCUUUGACCGUCGAACUACUCAAACCGUUUACAUUUGGCCAUGUGAACACGUAUAGAGACUUCACUGAAAACCGGAUGAGAUCAUUUGGUUUUAAGCGAUAGUUAAAGUUGCAACAGAUCGAGAAGUGGUUGAUGUAGUGAACGUGGUCCCAUUAGAUCAUAGUUUAUGAUUUUGGUGAUUGAAUGACAACAUAAUUAUUGGGACUAAUGGUUUGUCAAGCAUGUGCCUGGUAGUUUUUUUUAGUCCCAAGUAUGCAAAUCAAACCAUGGCAAGGUAAGUCACGGUAUCUUUUCAAAUCAUGGUAUUCAAGCAUCCAAGCUAUGGUAUUUAAGUGACCAAGUUAUUGUAUCCAGGAUUAUUUUAUGGUAUUCAAGCAUCCAAAUGAUAGAGAAAAUCCAGAGAUGGUAUCUUCGGUGUGCAAGUGGUGGUAUUCAACACAGAAAAAUCAGUACCAUCGGAUGUUCCGAUGAUCCACGGAGCAAGCAUCGGAGUAAGCAUCAGAGCACUUGCUACAACGGGGAAAUCAACUUGAGUUCCAGGAAGCACCGAAUGAUCCGACGGUGGGAAUUUUAGUAGCGUCGGAGCAAUUCUCAGAUAAGGCAGAAAUUGACCUAUAGCACUGGAUGUUCCGAUGCCCUAUGGAGGUGACCGUCGGACGAAGCAUAUUUACUUUGCAAAGUUCCAGAGAGGUUUUGGGCAGGAACCCUUCAACUCAGGAUGUUCUGACGGUACCAUCGGAUGACGUGUCGUAUGAAUUCUUGAAAAAGUUGCGCGUGGAGUAGCCAACGGCUAGUUGCACCGGAUGUUCCGAUGCAUGCCAAAAUAAACCAUCUGAAUAUUCAAUGGUAUACUUUAACUAGCUGUUGGAGCAACGGCUCUUUGAUGCCUUAGGCUAUUUACGCCCCCUCCACUCGUCCAUUUGAAGUUACGGGAGUGUGCAAAAAUCUAUUAGAGAUCAAGACUCAUCAAGAACACAUUCAAGCCACCAAAAGUUCUUGAGUGAUUAUUCUAAGGCUUAGCACAAGCUUAGGAGAGUGAUUAGUGCUAGGAUAGAUCUAGAGAAAGGGAGAGUGCAAGGUGUGCCUACCUUGUGAUUGGUUCUAGGAGUAACCACAGUUGUACAAGGUGUGCCGGUGUCUUGGAGCCUUGAUGGCUCGCCGGCAAGUCUUCGACCCUCCAGCUUAGUAUGGAGCGACGUCGAUGACCGUGUGCGGGGGAUGUGAAGACCCCUCCUUAGUGGAGAAGCUCCUUAGUGGAGACGGCAUCAAGGUGACUGGGAAACUUGGCGUGAGUCUUAGUGGCCGAGCCUUUGUGGCAAGUCAAGGGGUGUCCCGAAAGAGACUUGGUGACCGGGAAGCAAUACUCUUGUAUGAGUACUUCAACAACGUGGAUUAGUGAUGGCUUAGUGCCUACUGGUACCACGGGAUAAAUCAUUGUGUCAAGAGUUUGCUUCCCCUCUUUCCCUCUUUUACAUUUUUGCAUUUCAUACUUGCAACUCGUGUGCCUUUACUUUCUUAGUAUAGUAUCUUGCUAGAAUUAGCUCUAAAUUGCAAAACUUAUUUUGGGAUGAGGGUUUCACACUAGAUCAACCUUAGUUGCACAUCUUGAUAGCAUGAUUUAGUUUAAGUUUGAUGUAAAAGUAGUAGAAGCCAUAUAUUAAGGUUUUAAGUUGCGUAAUUUACCCCUCCCCUUUGGACUACGAGCACCGAGUACUCUAAGUUGAUUACGUAAACCGAAAUCAAGCAACACGCUUUUAUUAUAUUACUAGCUUGUUUGGCUUUUUGCUUACCAGUGCAACAGGCAGUCUAAUUAAACUGUGCUAACCGUGUGUACGUAGCUGCCCAUAAAUGUGAAAAGUGAGGUACUGAGAAGCCAGAAAUUGUACAGUUUGAUCUGAAGUGGCUUGAUCUGAUGGGGAGGCUGUUUGGCUCUUCACAUCACGCACGUGCACCACAAGGAGUUGAGAUGUGAUGAUGGAACACACUUGCGAGGGCUCUGAUCGGCCACUCGUGCCUAUCGCGAGCUCAUCUUCUGACAUAAUAAAGCAGCACUAGAACGAUGACGAAUGUCCCGGAUAGAUGCAGGUGGACGUCUUUUCUAACUGAAGUACGUAGCUAGCUAAGGCGCACAAUAUUCUGUCUGCCAUUUUCCCAAAACCAAAAAAAACCCCGCAGAAUGUCAUUUGUGUUUCACAAGCGGUCUGUCCAAAUGUUAUCAUAAAAAUUAAAUAUAUAUCCGUGUGUGAGAAAUACUGUUGAUAAAAGAGAUGAUGUGUUAGGCGCAUCCAGGAUCAAUGUUAAGGAUAAGGUUCCAAAAGCUGAUGAAAGAAGAGGCAGCUAGGAUAAGUUAGGCGCAUCCACCAGGUCAAUAACGGAAGGAUCAGAGUUCCGGAGCUGAUAGAAGCCAAAAGAGCACGAUGCGAACACGGUGUCUCCACCGAAUAAGGGAAAGCGUAGAGAAAAUUAUCUUAGGUAGUUUUUAGGCAAUAAUUGUAAUAGCUCGUGUCGUAAUCAACUAGGACUUUAGCUUGCUCCAGGGUAUAAAUGUAAACCCGUGAGCCUUGUAACAGACAUCUCUGAAUUAAUCAAUACAACCUUUCGGCGCCACGCCGCCAAACCCUUAGGAGUAGGAGUAAUGUAGCUUUUUGAUGAGUUCCUUCUAGCAGGCAGGGCUGCAUCGGCUUUGAUCUCAGGCGAGUAAGUACCGUCACCCUGUCAUUACGACCUCUAUCAGAACUUUCUAAGUUAAGUCUUAUAUUCUGAUAUUGUCGUGUGGCCUAAUGACAUAUAUCAGAACUUUCUAAGUUAAGUCUUAUAUUCUGAUAUUGUCGUGUGGCUAGUUAUCGAGUUAUCUUAGAUUGCAAGUAGAACUUUUUAGGUUUUGUCCAAUAUUCUGCUUGUUUUCGACGUUGCUCAAGUUAUUGAACAACUUAGAUCUGGUCAGGUUGUCUUCAUCGGCUCUCUUGCCUUGUUUAAACGUUCACAGUUAUCAGAUCGUAUCGGCUGGUAGACUCUGCAUGCUUUUAUUGCUUUACAUAUGUUAGGUCCGAUAGAUCUUUACCCUGCCCCUCGUAUUGCUAACCGUCGGACCCUUGACGUCAACGCGCUACUAUUGAGAGCCAAUGCUUCGGACGGGUCUUAUCCGUUUCUCUCAGGAGCGUGAUGACAUCAUCGAGCCGAUAGGAGCGCGUACGAGGCCUUGCUGCUGCGAGUCUGUCUGUUAAGAUUAACGGGUCAAAGUUAAUGCCCUCUCACCGUGUUAGCUUGUCUAAGUUCAAUUACACGGUCAUGAUACUGAUUACACUUUAUUACCUUAAUCUUCUUGUAAGCGGUAGGCAAGAGGCCUUUGGUGAUUGUGCUUUAGUCUUUUAUGCUAUCAGAUCGAGGUUAAUGCCCUCUCAUUCGUAUUACCUUGUCUAAGUUCAAUACACUUAUCAAGACAUUAAUUAAGAUAUGUUAAUAUAUCUAGCUUGCGUACGGUUAGCAUCGGCUUGUUCUUGUUGCUUUGUUCUAAUCUUUUAAGUUAAUUAGAUUGAUGCUAAUGUCCUCUCAUUCAUGUUACCUUGUCUGAGUUCAAUACAUUUAUCAAGACAUUAGCUAGAUCUGUUAGCUUAUCUGAUAAGCGUAUGGUUAACAAUGACUCCCUUUUAUGGCUGUUGUGACUAAUGCUUUAUCUUAGCUACCACAUGAUUGUAUUGAACAUAUCUUAAUGGUGUUCACAUACCUAUGAGCUUGAAGGCUUCGCUGCCUAUCGGCUCAUGAAUUUUACAUUUCCUUGUCAAUUUUCAGGUCAAAUUGACUAGCACGCCUUGCACCACUCGCGAGCCGAUUUGGAGUCUACACUGGAGUUAAACAGAUCUGUCAGAUCCUCCGUGUUGUUCAACGCAGAAGCCUGAGGUCUAAAUUUUGCAUUAGAAAAUAGUUACAUCCAUUUGGAGUUAAACAUGGAAACUAGUUACAUACAUACACAUAUUAGAAUUUUGGUUUCAACUAAUUAAUUAAAUUAGCUGCAGCAACAAAUUUUUUUUAAAAAAACAAUGUAUCUAAAAAAUUGAUAAGAAGACAAGUUUCAAUUCUAGAUCCAAAUUCUAUGUGUCAAAUUUAUCAUUAUUCACGAAACCAGAACUACCAAGAUUUAUACUAAUACGCUCACCUUCUCACCUUCUAUCAGAUAUGUAUAUCUAGCAUGCAUCUCUAGAAAAAGAGAGAAAGUACGAAUUUUCCACUUGGAUAUCGAGUGGAAGUGAACAGCAGAGUAUUUCUUCUUCUUCCCCCUCUCUGUUUUUUUGGUUGUUGGUGGCAAAUCAGAGUCGAUUGAUUAGGAUGCUAGCUAGAAUGAUAGAAUAGCGCUAGCAUAUGACAGGUAAUGAAAGGAUACGCACGAAUUCUUAAUUUUAACUUGUAGAAGGUACACUACAAAAGAAGAAAAUCGAAAAUAAGAGAAGAGUAUUUCUUCUUCUCUUCUUUUUUUUGUUGUUGGUGGCGAAUCGUAGUCGAUUGAUUGGGACGCUAGAAUAGAAUAGCGAAUAGCAUAACCAGUCACUUCUUUUGUAUGAUGCACCCAAAUUCUUAUUUUUAAGUUGUUUGAGGUAGAAUACAAAAGAAGAAAUCAAAGGCAAAAUACACGAUGCCGGUUAGUUGUAGAGUCCCUGUUCUGAUCAUAGAGCCAUGCCCAAGCCAAGCGUGCGCGAUGCUACUACCAUGCUAUGGCAUUCGAAGUGGUGUUGGGUCACGGUGACCAGACCGGUCGAGCUAACCUAGCUCAAUCGCCGAGCCAUCGAGUGGAAACUAGAAUGCAAGGCGAGAAGUGACGGGGACAUCCUUGACCAUCACUGCCAAGGGGGAGAGUGGAAGACUCUCCAUCGGGUGCCACUUUACUGUUGGGUUGCAAUAGUGGUAGGGGAUGUCACAACAUACAUGCGCGGUUGAGUGCAUUGUACCCACUUGGUAGAUGGAGUCUAAGAUGAUGUUUGGUUGAGAAAUGGUAACGCAAACGCAAAUGUAAUCACAAAGCACUGGUAUCGUAAAUGAAGUAAUAGAAUACUGACAUUGUUUGGUUCGGCCGGGUAAUGGAAACGAAAUUCUAGAAGCUAGAACUGGCGCAAGAGAAAAUCUAGGAUGGAGGGAGACAAGCAGGGAAGCGAUACCGGGAAGGCAGGGGUGGAAUGGGAAGGUAACCAUCCGGUAUCCGAUUAUAUGUAAAUGUAUUGCAGGGCGGGUCGAACCAAACAAGUGUAAUGCUAAUGCUUAAGUAAUCCAAUUACAUUACAAUUUUUUGAACCAAACACACUCUAAAUAUCUAUUGGAGUGGAAAAGUAUCGGAAAUGAUUUUGAAUGCCUUUGCUUCUUUUAAAAAUACAAUAAAUAUGCAGGUAAUCAUGUACACAUGAAUACUCAUCCGUAUCCUUAUGUACGCACGCACGCGCACCCGACUCGUUGCGGAUAGGCAGAGCACGUAUUUAUGUAUGUAAUGUAACAGGCGUGGAAUUUCUAGAACAUUUUAACCCACUAGGCUACGGUGUUUUCUCAUAAUUAUGUAUGGAACGGGGCAUUUUGGUUGGUCCUUGGAAUAUAGUCCAACAGCUCUUUCCAAUCAGCCAAGAAUAUAAUAGGAAUAGCAUAUUUCUUUGCUGCUCUAGGUAUACGGGUGGGUCGGAGGAAUGAAAAAAAAAAGACACGAAUCCUUCGCGGGUACCUCUCAGUCAGCAGCCCAACACCGCAACAGUGCAGGACCCGAUCGUGCGUGCAGGAUGCUUAAUCAUGGCGUGCAAGCUCAAAACGCAUCGCAAAAUUAUAGGCACCACUCCACAGCUGGGAUUCGACGUGGGCUCUUCCUAGGAGGUGUUUGGAUACAAGGACUUUAGGAGGGUUACAUUGGAUGUUCGGAUGCUAAUUAGGAAGAUUAAAUAUGAGCUAAUUAUAAAACUAACUGCAGAUACCCUAUACUAAUUCGCGAGAUGAAUCUAUUAAACCUAAUUAAUUCAUCAUUAGCAAAUGGUUAUUGUAGCACCACAUUGUCAAUCAUGAACUAAUUAGGCUUAAUAGAUUCGUCUCGCAAAUUAGAUUCCAUCUGUACAAUUAAUUUUAUAAUUAGAUUAUAUUUAAUACUUCUAAUUAGUAUCUAAACAUCACAUCCGAUAUGACACGGAGGUUCUGGGCUGCCCACCGCCCUUUUUGACUGGCCACCGGCCGGAGCAGGAGGGAGAGACGGCAGGUCCCGCGCGCCCAUGGUCGGCCGUCGGGGUGGUUAGGUGGGCCCGCGGGGUAGAUGAGGGGAAUAUAUAUAGUGGAUAACCAUGCAUGCAUAGUAUACGCGCGCGCGGCGGCAUAUGUACUGUACUGUAGUGUAGUAGCGUGCGCAUCGAUCUCGUUACUGUUGGUACGUGUACUACAGCAUGCAGCUCUAGUACUGUGCUGAUCGAAUAUAUACCACAUACCAGUACCACAAGCGGUCCCUUGUUAUCAUUCAUCAGCUCUACUCUUGCAGUAUACUACAUGCCAUGCUAUCCGGUCCAGAGAAUAAUGCAUCCCCACUCCCCGCUCCUGCUUAGUUUUUUUUUUUUACACAAAGAAUGCAUCCCCAACAUGCCGGCAAUCAUGCUUGCAUCAGGACGAGAGUAGUGUAGCAACAUGAUUAACGAAGGCGAGAGCUAUAUCAUACUCUAGCCAAUGAUUGAGUGCCAUGACAGCAUCAAAUUAAGCUCCAGUGAGAACUCCGGCAGGUUAGAGUUAGGGUUCACCGGUUCGGGCUUGGAGUUGGGUUCAAGGUGGGGGUUGGGAGUUACCUCUGACCUCCGGGCCUAGAGGGAUCCAGGGGUUGGGAAAGAUGGCGGGAGAGCGGGGACGGCGAGGGCGUCGUCGGAGCCGGGCGGUGGGACACCUGGUGGGCGAUGGUGGUGGCGGGGGCGCAGGAUAUCAACGAUUUAGUGUUGGCCGUGGUCGUGGGCGGCGGCGGAGGCGGCGAUUCGCCGCCGGAGCCGAGCGGGAAGCUGACGGCGGUGGGGAGCUCAACCGGGAUUGAUGAAGAUGACGUCGGGAAAGAAGCCACGUGAACGGAGGAAGGUGGUGGAGGGCGCCAGGGCAGUGCCUGGUAGGGGAGAAUGGCGUGUCGAGGACGUUAGGGUCACGGGGAUGCCGAGCGAUGGAUGGAUAAGGUAAACGGCGUAGGGGAAAAGAUAAGAAGGUGGGGUAGUCGAUCUCAGACGUUGGUUUUCGAUCCGACGGAUCAGAAAAUCGAGUGUGUGUUACACCUGGCUACAGCAUAGACAGCCCCUUAAUGAAACGGGGGAAAAGUACUGUAAGUCAAGCUUCAAGUCAAACCACGCGCAUACAAGGUUAGGUUAGUACGUACGUUCUCGGUUCCUCCUAGAGGUCAACCGGUCAACACUGCAUGCGCUGGUCCAUCGAUCAGGAUAUUCAAGAGUGCGUGAUACUGUGAUGGCCAACUAUAUGCACAUCACUGCAACAGGCAGGCACAUGUGAAGAGCGACAAGCAAGGCGGCGACUAGUCAUCAACCGCCAGAGCACUACUGACGGCCGGAACUAAAGCAACAACGGUGUCACGGGAUUAGGGGAAAAGGACACGCAUGCAUGGAUGCUAACCCAGCCAGAAUGAAGAAACGUGCGUGCACCUCAACGUACUAAUUAACGAGACCGAUCGACGCGCGAAACAAACGCACGUGUGCGAUCGAAUCAUCAUCGACGACAGUACCACACUAGCGAUCAGGCCGGCUCGACCUCAGUGCUAACUUUGCUCUCCAAUCCACUCGUGCAGUGCAGCUGUCGCGAGACGCUGCAAGCUAAAGUUGAUAGCACCGUAUAAUUAACUAAUAACGUCACAUCCUAGGAUCGUGCUAAACACGAUCUCUAUUAAUUGACAAUGUUCGGCAUGCAAUUUACUUGGGUAAAUAAUCUGCAAAACCAGACCUUUGAAAAAUUAGAUAGAGUGUUGGCGUGUACAGAUUGGGAGUCCAAUUUUCCACAUACCACUGUUAAACUUUAACUCGUGAGAUUUCAGAUCAUACACUGUUAUUUUUAAAUACGGGAGAUUCAAACACAUUUUGCACUUUUUAUACAGGGAUGAGCCUAAUGAGUGUGAAGGACCGGUUCUUUUGCAUGGGCAGUUUUAAAUUGCAAGAGGGAACACAAAUAAGGUUCUGGGAGGACAUAUGGCUGGGUAACCGGACAUUAAGAUCCCAAUAUCCAUCCCUGUAUUUAGUUCAACGCCUCUAAAAAUCUCUUUUUGAAGAGCUAUAGUUGGAGAUAAACUAAGAGACUGGCAUAACUUGGUAGCAAGACUUUUGAAUAUUAACUUACAUGAAGGUAGAGAUACUUUUGUUUGGUCCCUUCAAGUUAACGGAUCCUUUUCAGUGAGGUCCAUGUAUAAGCAUAUGAUUAAUAGUGGGACAAGAGUCACCGAGGAAAUUUAGCGUACAGAGUUACCUAUGAAGAUUAAAAUCUUUAUGUGGUAAUUAAAAAGGGGUAGUCCUUACAAAAGACAAUCUAGCUAAGAGAAAUUGGAAUAGUAACAAGAUCCGUAGCUUUUGUUGCGCGGAAGAGACUAUCCAUCAUCUCUUUUUUGAGUGUUCAUACGCUAGAUUUCUGUGGUGUGUGGUACAUAUUGUUUUUGGAAUUACACCACCAUUGAACUUUGAGGAUUUGUUCCAUCAAUGGUUACAACAGGCAGGGCAAAAACCAAACCACACUUAUUGACAGGGGCAGCGGCUUUGUGUUGGGCAAUUUGGCUCACAAUAAAUGAUGUUGUUUUUGAUAAAUGCCAAUCAAAAACUUCUAUGCAGGUUCUUUUCAGGGGAACGUAUUGGCUUCGGCAGUGGGCAUUGUUGUAGCGCAGUGAUGAGAUAAAGGAGAUGAUGAUCCAGGCAUGCUAAUCACUAGAGACAUCGGCUCUUCACUUUUUUGCUUCCCAUGGAUGGACAUUUAGUUUACGAAUUGGCUUUUGAUAUUUUGGAUGCUCUAUUCAAACCUUAUGCGGUGGUGCGUGUAGUGUUGGUCUACUACGUGUAACAAUGUGGGGACUGAUUCCCUUUUGUUAAUAAUAAAAAAAACACGACCUCUGUAUAUAGAAAGACGAACAAUAGCUACGCUUUUACAUGUCCAUCCUAAACCGCAGCCUUUUGGUCUGAAAAUAAAAGGAAAAAACACUGCUUUCCGCACCAGUAACGUGAUGAUCCUCCAUCGCCCAUUUUAUUCGGAACCCAAAAGGAUGGUCAGAAUUGAUAGCCACGUGAUUAACGACUUCCGCCAUGCUACAACUUAUUCAUGCCUAGCUAGAAUUGCCGAAAAAGGAUUUACACUGCCGGCUAGUGGUGAGCACUGCACGGAGCGAGACCUCCAACAUGUCAAGUGCACAUCACAGUAUGGUGUGGGUUUGAACAUUCAAAAAGCGGCAUCCCGCGUGCGAUGGAUCACUGUCGAUCGGACUCGCUCCAUGGUUUUUUUUUUUUCCAACCGGGGUUGCAUCAUCGCUGGGUACGCCGUCGUCGUCGAAUAUUAGGGUUCCCACUGCUAAUCGGCAGCAUGGACAUCGUUAUCUAUCCCAUUCUCCUACCAUUCGAUCAUAAAUGUACAUAGGAUCUGUUUGGAGGAAUAUAAAUGUCGCUCGGGGUAACAAGACCCUGCUUCAAUUUCUUGGGCAGUUUGACUAGCUAGUAUGUACUGACAUGAGCCCACAAUUAUUGCAGCCGAGAAGACGCCAAUUCCAGCGUCAGCGCGCCGCAUGCAAAGUGACCUGCCCCGACGACCCGGCUGGCACGAGUGACCUCAGCCCCGGCGACUUGAGUGACCGCAACGACGCCGCGCCGCGCCUACGCCCCAGAUUGUGGGGCCCCGGCUCGAGCCGCCUGACUGACGUUGCGCGCGUUGACCGACCCCCCCAACCAAGGCCACGGCACCGUCAGGUGUGCACAGCCAGCCACAGGCGGCGUCGUCGUACGUUGCGCCUCGCCGCCUAGCCUUUCUGGGGGUGAAAUGGUUUGCAGAAUGGCUCAUGGGAAACGCUACAACAUCGAUCAUCAUCAAUGCUAUAAACUGCUUAGAGCCUGCUUGGAUCCGGCGUCCUAAACUUUAGGACAUGUCCCAUCGGAUGUUUAGAUACUAAUUAGAAGUAUUAAAUAUAAUUUAAUUACAAAACUAAUUGCACAGAUGGAGUCUAAUUCGCGAGACGAAUCUAUUAAGUCUAAUUAGUCUAUGAUUUGACAAUGUGGUGCUACAGUAACCAUUUGCUAAUGAUGAAUUAAUUAGAUUUAAUAGAUUCGUCUCGCGAAUUAGUAAGGGGUUCUGCAGUUAGUUUUAUAAUUAGCUCAUGUUUAGUCCUCCUAAUUAGCGUCCGAACAUCCGAUAUGAUCCUCUUAAAGUUUAGUACUUGUAUCCAAACACCCCCUUAACCAUACUUGUUAAAGUAUGGUGCUAGCUAGGGUCUGGCUGGCACUCUAGCCGAGCAUUGUGGAAACCAUGCUCAAGCUCUCGAUUCCGAGGCGUGGAAACCAUGCAUUGUGGCUGAAACGAAUCCUAAUCGCAGGGUUCUCCCCUAUGUGGAUCUGUAGUUGGGUACCAUAGGGAUCUUGUGCCAACUGGAGGUGCAGCUAGCAUGUGGUUCGGUCCUAGAGUUUAUUUGCUUCUCCAUGUGUAACCUGCAGGCACAUGAUAUGUCUGGCAAUUCUGAGAUGAGAUAGAUGCAUGAGGUUCCGAAUACCAAAUAUUUCUUGAGAAAAAAUACUCAAGGCAGUCUAUAUAUUGAGUUACCUUUUAUCUAAAAGUUACCUUUAGUAUUUUAAUUAGUUUUGGACAUCGACAGCCAUUAACACACUGCUCUAACCACUGAUUACUAGUGUCAGUAGAAUUUUUUUGGAACUAUGGAAAGACAAAUCCAACCACAUUUUGGAAAAAUCUAUAAAAUAUUUGGUAUAUUUUUAUGGCUAAGGUUUGAACGUGUUGGUUGUUGCGCGAAACUUUUAUCACAAACCACAUUAAAUAACUGAAUCCAAUAAACAUGUCACAAGAGUUUGUUUCGUCCAUGCACGACAUAACAGUCAGAAUAAGUACACAAACCACUGAACAAAGACACAAGAAAACUCCAACGAGCAAGAUAAGAGCGAUGUAGGCAGGCACUAAACUAUUUCCGCCGAAAAGGAAAAGGAAAAAAAUGGACAGACGCAAACGCUACCGCUGACCAGAAAAGAAACCAGAGACCUCUGCCUACUCUGCUCCCGAGCUCUCAGUCUAUAUAUACCCUGCUCCCUCCCCUCCCUCCUCCCACACAGCCUCUCACCUCACCUCUCAGCCUCGUCACUCACAAGUCACAAAGAGGGAGCAUCACUUGCCUGCUGCGCUCUUCCGAGUUCCGACAACUUACUCCGACGAGGAAGAAAGUUCGGAGAGGGAGCUUUCUCCAACAGUAGUAGCCAUGGGAGCGCACAACGGAGUGAACAAUAUGCACGAGGUGGCGCCGAUGGAGGUGUCUGUGGAGGCCGGGAACUUCCAGGACGCCGAGCGGCUCGACGACGACGGCCGCCCGCGCCGCACGGGCACGUUCUGGACGGCCAGCGCGCACAUCAUCACCGCCGUCAUCGGCUCCGGCGUGCUCUCGCUGGCCUGGGCCAUCGCGCAGCUCGGCUGGGUCGCCGGACCCGCCGCCAUGCUGCUGUUCGCAUUCGUCACCUACUACACCGCCACGCUGCUCGCCGAGUGCUACCGUACCGGCGACCCGGAGACCGGGAAGCGCAACUACACCUACAUGGACGCCGUGCGCUCCAACCUCGGCGGCGCCAAGGUGGUGUUUUGCGGUGUUAUCCAGUACGCCAACCUCGUCGGCGUCGCCAUCGGCUACACCAUCGCGUCGUCAAUCAGCAUGAGGGCCAUCAGGAGAGCCGAUUGCUUCCACACCAACGGGCACGCCGACCCGUGCAAGAGCUCGAGCACACCGUACAUGAUCCUCUUCGGCGUUGUUCAGAUCCUCUUCUCGCAGAUACCCGACUUUGAUCAGAUAUGGUGGCUCUCCAUCGUCGCCGCCGUCAUGUCCUUCACCUAUUCUUCCAUCGGACUCUCCCUCGGCAUCGCACAGACAAUUUGUAAGUUCUUGAUCAUCUGUUCAAGACAUGCAAUUUUGCAUGAUUGAUCGAUGCUAAAUUACUGACAUGAGCUCGAUCGGUUGUUGGAAUUGCAGCUAAUGGAGGGUUCAAGGGAAGCCUUACCGGCAUCAGCAUCGGAGCCGACGUCACCUCCACACAGAAAAUCUGGCACAGCCUGCAGGCCUUCGGCGACAUCGCCUUCGCCUACUCCUUCUCCAACAUCCUCAUCGAGAUCCAAGUAAGCAAUCUACUGCUCUACUGCUCUGUUCUCUUCAACUCGAUUCCUCUGUUUCUAAUAACCAAAGCUAAUCUGAUUCUUCAGGACACAAUCAAGGCACCACCACCGUCGGAAGCGAAGGUGAUGCAGAAGGCCACCCGCCUGAGCGUGGCGACGACCACCAUUUUCUACAUGCUGUGCGGGUGCAUGGGAUACGCGGCGUUCGGCGACGAGGCCCCGGACAACCUGCUCACGGGGUUCGGCUUCUACGAGCCCUUCUGGCUGCUGGACAUCGCCAACGUCGCCAUCGUCGUGCACCUCGUCGGCGCCUACCAGGUGUUCUGCCAGCCCAUCUUCGCCUUCGUCGAGCGCCGCGCCGCCGCCGCCUGGCCGGACAGCGCCUUCAUCUCCCGGGAGCUCCGCGUGGGCCCCUUCGCGCUCAGCGUGUUCCGGCUCACGUGGCGGUCGGCGUUCGUGUGCGUCACCACCGUCGUCGCCAUGCUCCUCCCCUUCUUCGGCAACGUCGUCGGCUUCCUGGGCGCCGUCUCCUUCUGGCCGCUCACCGUCUACUUCCCCGUCGAGAUGUACAUCAAGCAGCGCCGCGUGCCGCGCGGCAGCACCAAGUGGAUCUGCCUGCAGACGCUCAGCAUCACCUGCCUCCUCGUCUCCAUCGCCGCCGCGGCCGGUUCCAUCGCCGACGUGAUCGACGCCCUUAAGGUCUACCGGCCGUUCAGCGGUUAACUUGACAGAAGAAUCUCAAGCAACUACUGCACACUAAAAUCACCGGACUGUUUGCGCAUACCAAGAGUAGCGAGUGGCGGGGCGACGUGCCGCGUAUUCCUCCAGUACAUGGUUCCACUAGGCAGGAUGAUCUUGUUCUACCUGCAACUAUGUCUUGCUAACUUUUUCCAUAGAUUAGAUAUGUUCCACACUAGAUUAGCAGUAAGCUGCAAGUGAAAUAAUUUUGGCCGCUCGUCAUGUAUGAUUGAGAGAGACUCUGAUUUUUAUUGUUUUCCUUUUUUGGUGUGGGCGCCAGCUUGAAACCUGCAAAAAGGUUUUUCUUAUGCUCCCGAUCGAUAUUCGUUCAAAAGUUGAAAUUCAGUCUUAUAACUUUAUACAGCUACAAAAUAGGGCCUGCUAUACAGUGGUUCAUAUGAAUUUAGGAUUUAAUAAUCUUUAAAAAUACGUAAUCUUUAGAAUUUGCCUUGCAGCUCCAAGCGCCCUCAUUUUUUUUUCAUCCUAGACUACACUACACAAGGCCGUUCAUUAUUACAAGCCAAAUGGAAAAGCACAAAAUUACAAAAUUCACACCUUGUAAACACCAAGACAAGAUAAAUGUUUCAAACACAUAUCUUGUUACUAAACCUUCAUCCAUGCUUGGUAAAGAUGUUCAUCAUCAUGGCUUCAAAAUUUUGGGACGCCGUGGUCAAGUGAUGGUGUUCCUCCUCCUUUUUUGCAGCAAGGACCAAAAGUGACUAUUUAGCCGCUUGUCAUGUAUGAAUGAGCCUCUGAUAUUUUUUUUUUGUGGACGCGUCAGCUUGAAACUCCAAUAAGGAUUUCUUUGGCUUCCGAUCAAUACCCGUUCCAAAAUCUAAGAAACUUUCAAGAACUUUGGGCCUUAUACUCCGUGCAUUCAUCUUUUAUGGCACAUUUUUACGAUCUAAAGUUCACUCUUUGAUCAGCAAUUAUAUGUAUGAGUCGAAUAAUAAUAUGUGAGUUAUGUCAUAUUCAAAAGCAGUUCCUUAUGAUUAUGAUUUUUUAACUUUAUAAAAUACAAUAGAAAAGAACUUAUUGUCAAAGAUAGAUUCUGGACUGUCAAAGAGGGCAUUAUAUUCUUCCAUGACUAUGACAUAUAAGGUGCUAAAUUACGUAUUUGUUCUUCACUUGAUCAGCUCAUAUGCUCAGAUCACAUUUUUUUAGGACUUGAACAUAUUCUUUUAUUACUUAUAUGAUUGAAUCAUGUGAUGCCUUCGAAGAUAAAUGCAUGCCAAUAAUGCAAGUUGGCGUGACCUUUUUUUUUUGACGAAUCGACCUUGUGGCAUCAUCUUUUUCCUAGGAAAGCGACUAUAUAUGCUAUACAACAAAUUUGAAGUGCAAAGUUCCAAAUCAUUUCUUUACAAAACUUGUCUGCACCUUGGCACUAAUCGAUCGAUAGACUUUAACUAUAUUCUCGGCAGUUUUCUUGGACCUUGAUGAUCUGUCAAAAAGUAUCUAUCCAUAAGAAAAGUUUGUGUGCUUGUUAUGCUUCCACACAUGUUGUUCCUUUUGUAUAUUGUACGUAUCCCAUUCGCACGUGGUUUCUUUGUACGUAUAUUGUACCGCAUUUGGAUUUAAGAACAGAGGGAGACUAACUGACCAAGCUGUGUGCAUCAUGAACUAGGGUAGAGCCUCAAUGUGUCUAUAUGGAUAUAUUUCUUAAGUGCGCAUUCAGAUUACAUAAUAAACUUCCUGCCUUCACCAAAAAUAUAAAAGGUGGUACUGGAUAUUGAGAUCCUAACGAAACCUUUUGUUUUUUAGCAUGUUUACACUGGACAAUGUACAUGCACAAUCAUACUCAUAUGAUUUCAAAAAAUAAAAAAGAUUAGAGCUAGCUGCACGCAGUUUGGUAGGUUUGUAGAGCGUGCAAACUUUAGGUUGCUGGUGGACGUUUAUUCGACAUUUUGUAGGAAAAAAUGUAUCCAUCGAUUGAUCGAUCGAUUGAUUGAAGAUGCGCAUGAGGAAUUGGUUAUGUCCAUUAAUUUGUUAUCCUUUGUCAGUCUCUCGACAAGUCCAAAAGUGCUUUGAUUCCAGUUAGUUUAGUUCAUGAAGCAAUUAUAUAUGUGCAUGCGGCUAUGAGCUAGUAGUAGCCUUCUGUGACGAGUUGCUUGGAACUUUGCAUUGGACAACGAUGCGUUUGAAGUACUGGGACAUGCACUAGUAGACAUCAAUUAUUGGGUGCAUUUCCUUGUUCAUAUGGUCAAUGUCGAUGUGUCAGAUACGUGUGGCGCGACUUCACUUGAAAACGGGAGGGAUAGUUUGGUUGUUUCAACUGAUUAUUCGUCAGAAGGUAAGAGAGUAGUAGCAGUAGUAGUAGAAGUUAGCCAUGUAGCCGACUUCAAGCAAAUUAAACAAAGUGUUGGUGGCAUUGGCUUAAUUAUAUUGACCUAAGUGUUGUUUGGCUGCUUUUUUAUGGGCACACAGGUGGUACUUGAACUGUUAGCAGUAGAUGCCCCCGAAACUGAGAAAUUCAGACGCCUGGAAGAGAUAUUACUCGGAGCACUAACUGCAACUCUGCAAGUAGCUAGUGAUCCAAGAGCUUUCUCCGAGUGGAUCGAUCGAUCGUUUACACCUCGAUCGAUGUUGAACCACAUUCUGCCUAUCUCGUUCAGGUCGACUGUGACUAGAGGAUUGAGCAAUCGGCCGGGCACGCCGGUGGAGUGGGCACGGUCCUUUCAUCUUCCACCUCCGAUCCUGGACCUCAAGUGAAGUGGACGGGCGGGCAUGCUUGGAUAGUUGGAUAAUGGAUAUGGCCGCAUCUACAAGGAAGCAGGCCGUUGUGUUCCACCGCGAUAGAUGCAUUCGUGCGUGGCGUGCCGACUGCGGACGGCCGCCGCAUCCGAUCCGUCUGUGGCGUUUGGAAUCAAGAGUUUUUUUUUUGAAAAUAAUUGGAAUCAGGAGUCGCUGCAGCGUUUCCCUCCCUCGUUUUCUCUUGUCUCCGAAGGAGACUUGCUCUUCUCUCUUACUAGAACAGAGUACGUGCAGAGAUGCUGGUACUGGCCGGCCGGCCGUGCGCUCCCCCACCUGAACCUGAUCGAGGGAUGAGGAGGAUUGGAGGAAGAAGAAAGAAAUGCGUCGUCCGUGUCCAUGUGAUGCGAUCCCCGGGGCCCGGCUCUUGCGCCGCGUGACGCGCAGGCAAGUCCUUUGGUCGCCACUUGGGCCCUGCUUUAGUUGCCCUCAAAAUUCUAACUUUGACACUAUGUAAAAUGAAGAUUCUCCAUCACAUCAAACUUGCGGUACAUGCAUGGAGUACUGAAUGUAGACGAAAUCAAAAACUAAUUGCACAGUUUUGUUGUACUUUGCGAGACGAAUCUUUUGAACCUAAUUAGUCAAUAUUUGAACAAUAAUUCACAAAUACAAACGAAAUGCUACAGUGUUACUACAGUAAUUUUGACACCCCAAAGUUGGACACACUCCGGAGAUGCCAUGCAUGCAUGCGUGGCCCGAAAUAUAAUGGCAGGUCUCGCUGUCGGCACGCGUGCAGUGGCGCCUCGGCGUCUCCGUCUGCCUGCGCGUUGGGCACACUCGGCAGCGCGUACCCGCUGCACUGCAGCCGUGUCGUGUGGCCCUGGCUAGCUGCUAGCGACAGGAGAGGCAGCAGCGAGCGAGCAGGGGGCACCACACUCACCACGAUCCGAUCGGAUCCACCGCUCGCCGAAUCACAGCAGGACAGGCACACGAACACUAAAACAUUCUGCAUAUCCAGUGCGUGCAUGCAGGUAGAGGUAGGCCACGGUUUGACCUGCUUCCGUUUCGCCUCACCUCUGCAUAUGCAGGGCCUGUUUAUUUCCUCAAAAUUCUAAUUUUGACACUAUACAAAAAGAAAAUUCAUCAUCACAUCAAACUUGCGGUACAUGCAUGGAGUACUAAAUGUAGAUGAAAUCAAAAACUAAUUGCACAGUUUGGUUGUACUUUGCGAGACGAAUCUUUUGAGCCUAAUUAGUCAAUGUUUGGACAAUAAUUCACAAAUACAAACGAAAUGCUACAUUUGUGCAUUUAUGGCAAAAUGUCAAUUUUGCCACUCCUAAAUUGGGAACUAAACACGGCAGAGGAUCGAGUUGACUGCAGUAGUACGUACAGUACGUGACUUUAUUUUGAAAUCCAGGCUGAUCAUAUCCGCUCCUCACCAGCAUGACUGCUGCUCAACCACAGCCUGAGUGCCUGCACGCGGUGUUGCACUGUUGGGGAAGAUGCAUGUAGGCGAGCCAAGCCAUGUUAAAAAAAAGAGAGGAUAUUUUAUCUGUAGGACGACACUGCGAAAUUAUGAUUUAUCUCAUUGAAUUUGUUUGAUGGACACUGCAAUUUUGUGAUUUUGUCUACAAGACACUACACCAAAUAAAAUAAUCAUUUGGAAGAGAGAGGGUGAGUAAAAAGACUUUGUUGCCCAUGACUUUCUUCUUCCUCUAAUCGGAAGGACAGAGACAUAUGCACUUGCAGCGCUGUGGUCUCCUGCUGGCCUCUUCCUUGCCGGCUGCUGCUCAGCUUGUCUACCAAGCACCGCGAGCCAGUCUCUCCUCCAAUGAUCCUCUCUCCAAGUCUUCUCCAUUUGAAGCGCCAGCGGAGUAUUGCGUGGAGGUCACCACCAGCAAGGUGUGCCCAGGGACGCGGAGGGGAAUGGACGGGCAUCGCAUGGAGCAUGGGACUUAUCGAGCGUAUGCAGGAUGCAGCAACCUCUCCUCGCCUUCGCCGUCCCGCAGGGCCGGCCGCACCCCGUGAUGCCGCUCCACGUGAUGCUCCAAAUGGCCCUAAAAAAAAAAAACUUGAUCCGUCCAUCGACUUGCACGUCUUCUCUUUCUCCUCUCCCAUCGUCUGGACUAUAUAACUUGACGAUCACGAGAUCAUUCAGGACAGCAUCGUCCCACUAGUUAAUUCAGAGGUACAGGUCGUCGGCACGCGCGCAGGCAGGCUGGACGGGAGAAGAGACGAAUCACAAACUGUUCCAAACCAUACCAUCGCAGCAUCAAGCCUCCACCAAUGAUUACUGUUUAGCUCACUCAUAAAAUAUUUUUUCAUAUUUUAAUAGGAGAGAGAAGAGCUAUCUCUUGAUCAAGAGAUAGUUCCGUACAUGCACUUCAAAAUUAUGUGGGGUUAUUCAUAUCAUAAGUUACGUGCUAAAAGCUAGAUAAUUGUAAGGUUAUUUUUUAAAGUGCUUAGAGCUGGAUACUAGUUGGUACCAUCGGAGGAGGCCUCAGGAAUUAAUUGUUAGAGAUAGAUUGAUUGAUCAGGGCAUCACGCUACUGCAGUGAUGGAUGCCCUCACGGACAACGGAGGUCGUGGCAACGACCAGCACCAGCCGCUGCGAGAAACUCUGUCUGACCACGGAGGCCACCUUUUUGACUUGCCACCCGUGCCACCAAUCCCUCUCCCGCCUACUUCGAGUAUGAAGCGAGCCGGAUCUUCGCCAGUAAAAUCCGACUUCGUGUAUCCUCCCGUAUCCUUAUGGUGGGUGCUAGAUAAGUAGUUAUCAUAUACAGAACUCAUUUUAGUAUAAUAUCAUAUUCAUACCAUACAAUAAUAUUUAUUACAUCUAAGAAUAUAAGAGUACGAUCUGGUACAAGCCCCUUUGACUUAACGACAAGAAUAAAGCCAAUGCGGCAAUAACUAGCUUCUGGAAGCAUCUCCAUCUUCUCGAUCAACUCUACAGGCAUCUUGAGCAUAGCAUCACGACCUUCAGUCAUACCACCCAUCGUGGUUGUUAUCGAAGUUGGACUCGUAACUUACAAACUCACGAGCUAUUCCCAAGAAAUAAGACAGGUCCACGUCACCAUCCAUAUAUAGUGCAAAUUUUAAGUGGCCUAACACUAGUAUAAAAAAUAGUCAAGAAAUAGGCUCGAGUUUCCUAUGUAGCAGCAAGCAUAAAGAAUAAACUUCCAUAACCAUCAACCCAUCUCUCAUCACAUCGGGAGCACCUGCCUCGACAGGAUCCCUAUCACCAUCAUCCUAUCUCUGAACUAGGGUCAACGCAAAGACUCCCUUGGGUUGUGCAAAGCUCACCCCGCCAAGUAUCCAAAAACACCUUCUCCUGCCGGUUUUAUCCCACUCACGCUAAGAAUCCUGAUCACGAUAUCCCAUACACAUGCAAGCAUUGCACAACGUAUACACACGCGUAUAUGGUAUAGUAGUUCGAAAAUCAAGGUAUAAGGCAUAAAAUAAGGCUGUGCAGGGUUCAUCAUCAUCAUGCAAGAAAUAAAAAGCUAGCAUACUAAUUAAGCAAUGCCUAAUGGGUAUUCAAGUCGGAAUGGGCAUGAACCUGAGUAGUCUUCCUCCUCGUAGUAGUCUUCGUAUGGCUCCGGCUCCGAAUUCAGCUCCAAGUCCCUGACAGCUCCUAUUUAUGCAAUUACCAUAAUUACAGAGGGUCUAAUUGCAAAGAAAACCCAAAAGAGACCUAAGGAAGACCCAAACAAGAACAAGAUCUAGUCCAUCGUGUGCUUCAUUAUUUUAGAAAAAUUAUGAAACCGGUUUCAUAUUUUUUGGAGUUAAAAUAAAUUAGUUAUAAAUUUUUGAAGUUUAAAUCAAUUUCUGGAAUUUUGAAAUAAUUGACGAAAAUCAGAAUAGACCCGAGAGCGACACGUGGCAGCAUCAAAGUGCGCCACAUGUCUUGUUGAUGUCAGCAGUGGGGUCGGGUGACGUCAGCGUUGACCUGGUCAACGGCAAACGGUUAGCGGGUCAAAGUCAACGAUCAACGGGCCCUGGUCAGUGGGUCCCACGUGCUCGACGAAUUGCCCCAAAGGCAAUCCGUGUCGGCAGCGUGCGGCUGCGCUGCUCAGCUAAGUCCGGCGAGGCUCGGGCUACUUCGACAAGCCCCCAAUGACCCAAGGCUUGACCUCUGGUCACCUCUUGACAGUGGCGUGGCGUGCGGUAAGGGGUGGCAACGGCGGCGAGCUGUGGUUCAAGGUGGCUCAGAGCGCGAUGUAAAGGAGCGGCCUUUGGUCGGGUUUCGGCGAUGGCGCGGGCAUAGCGUGCGCGUGUUCCCGAUGAGGCGUCCACGGCAGAGGUGUCGGAAGCGAGGCGGCGGAGCAAGGCUGUGUCGGCGGCGAGGCAGCGGGAUGAGGGAAGGAUAAGCUGGAAAGAAAACAAAAGGCUGUGUCGGCGGCGAGGCAGCGGGAUGAGGGAAGGAUAAGCUGGAAAGAAAACAAAUAUGUAACUGUAGUUCUAAGUCGAGCGCUCACUUCAACUCCGAGGUCAUGAAUAAUGCUCCUAGCAUCUCAACUGAUGAAGCCUAUGCUCUGCAGUGCGAUGGCGAAGUGUCAAGACAACGUGAGUCACGACCGGUGUAGUUGCAGUCUUACAUUAAGACCAAAACUAAUCAUUCACGUUAGGGGAAAAGGAAGGGCAUUAUCCAUGUGUAUAUAGUAGUACGUACUACCCCAACCAGCAUUAGGAGACGUGCAACUCCACCGGAAAAUCGAGAACAAUGCAACAAUUUGCAUGCAUAUUGUUUGAUUACCGGUGCGGUAUUGCUAGCUGCUACUCUGUUCUAGUAGGAAAUAAACGUGCGAGUUCUCCGCUGAAGCUAAUCAGGUUCAAGCUCAGUGCCUACUUCCACUCACUCUCGGUGCAGCUUAUUGGCUAGUACUAGUAAUAUAGCACAAUCAGUCCGUUAUCCAGCUAGUAAUAAUCAUGAGAAGCUUGAAAUAUUUAACCCGCAAAUAAAGAGCGCCCAGAAAGCGCGGGGAUGGCAGGAAAAAGGCGCGAGGGAGCUGAGUGCGCUGCUGAGUUCUCAAGCAGUCGGCAUCGACGCGCCAACAUCCGACGACCCCAAGUGAAGUGACGGCGGUGAAAGUGAUCGAGACGCAUGCACGCGCUGAUGACACGCACCAACACCUUAGCCAUCGACCUCCACUUGAGACUUGACUUCUCUCAAGAACAAACUUAUUUGGAGAGAAAUUUCUGAAGAAUAGGAGGACAAUAAUACUCGUGAGUUAGAAGAUACCAGUGGACCGCAUCCUGAAGAUUUAAUUUCGGCUCAUCUAAACAAAGCCCAAAAAUUACAGAAAUAUCUGUCUUUGCAGACUUUCCACAUCGGCGAUAAAUUGUUAAUCUCAAUUUGCCGAUUUCAUUCCAAAUCCAAAGGAGCAAUAGGGGAACCGUAAAGCCACUUGUUUAACAACUUGGUCCACCACCUCACCAUUUCAUGCCUAGAGUAUCCAGGAAUAUAAUAAGGAGUAUGCGCUAGAGAUGCUCUAGUAGGUAAACUGUAAAAGUGUAAAGGGUAAAGGGUAAAUUUUUUAAGAUAUCCUAUAUACCGCUGAACGUGCGAAAAAUAUUCGCUGAAUAAGACUGCCAACAAUUAUCGCAUAGCGCAUGAGUGCGGCACCUUGGUUCCCAUGCAUCCAGCAACUGAUUAACAAGUCUGGCGUGUAAUCCGUGCAAAUGUUUUUACUGUAAUCACGUACUAUUUUAAACCUGAGUGAAACCCACUAUCGGUAUUAUUUUCCUGCUUGUGCUUAAGUAAAAGAGAUACUCCCUCCGUAUAGGAAAAGGAAGUCGUUUUGGACAGCGACACGGUCUCCAAAACAUUACUUUAACUCUUUGUUUUUAUAAAAAUAUUUAUCAAAAAGUGAUAUACGUAUAUUUUUAUGAAAGUAUUUUUCAAGACAAAUCUAUUUAUAUGACUUUUACAUUUCCAAACUUAACAACUUAAAAGUUAUUCAUGAUUUAUAUUCCCAAUGUUUGAUCCAAACCUUGUCCAAAACGACUUUCUUUUCCUAUACGGAGGGAGUAACAAUUAACAAAUUGACGAUAAGAUGUCCUGUACUCCUGUUCUAUUAGCUGAGUCACAAGUAAGCUGAGACGAUAACAUGUCUUGCUCUGUGCCAUCACACGGAAUCCUUUUAGCUGUUUGGCUGUAACGUGGGAUGAAAACAAUCGGAAACGAGAGUUAUCGGUACAAGUCUUCCAUCUCCCGAUUCCCGAAGUCAAAUACUUUUCUGCUCCACUCCACUGAGAGCUCGGCAAUGGUGGCCGCUCAAGGACUGCCGGAGGAGGAAUCAGGGUGUGUUUCCACGUGAUAAAGUUUAGCACCUAUCACAUCGGAUGUUUGAUACUAAUUAGAAGUAUUAAAUAUAGGCUAAUUAUAAAACUAAUCGUACAGAUGGAGUCUAAUUCGCGAGACGAAUCUAUUAAACCUAAUUAAUCCAUGAUUUGACAAUGUGGUGCUGCAGUAACCAUUUGCUAAUGAUGGAUUAAUUAGUCUUAAUAGAUUCAUCUCACGAAUUAGUCUAAAAAUUCUGCAAUUAGUUUUAUAAUUAGCUCAUGUUUAAUUCUCUAAUUAGCAUCCGAUGUAACACGUACUAAAGUUUAGCACUCCAAACACCCCCUAGCACCAGGGGUCACUCCAAACACUCCGAUGUAAUGCGAGGGGCGGUGUCAACGGCUGGCGCUGCCUCACGCGUUCGCGCUCCCUCGACGCCUUCUGAGCGCCGGCAGUGGAGCACAAUGCCUCGUGGCCUGGGAACAAGUUUGUGUGCCACGCGAGCUGAGUGGCCUGGGCCUGGAAAACCUGAGCAUUCAGAACCAGUGCCUCCUAACCAAGCUGCUGCAUCGCCUCUUCCACCCAGGCGUCUCGGCGUAGGCACGAUGGGUUCGCGGGCACAUCAACUUGGUCACUCUGGAAGGAAUACCCGGUUAGUUGGGAAUUUACCAUAUUUUCUAAAUCAACUAUUAUAUGAGAAAUGUAAUGUAGAGUGAAAGCAAAUAGAAAUAGCAAGCUUUUAUGUUUGAGUAGAAUCGGAAAGGUCAGAAAUGAAAUCAUUUUUCUGGAAACGAAGCUCCAUCGGUCCAGAAUUUCCAUCACCAUUGUCCGCUGGCGGACAGUGGCAACCCUCCACGGCAGGGCUGCACGGAGGGUGUUUUGUAGCCCUCCUGCACGGAAUUUUUUUCCACGCAACCCACCACGACUUCGCUCCUGUCCGGCGGUGUUGCACCACUCUAGGCUCCACCGCCAACUGCUUCGUCCCUGGUGCGUUGCACCGCCCCCACAUCGCUCCCACGGCAUCUCUCCAAGCUGUGGUCGUCAUGCUGCUCUCCUGCCAAUUCGGCCACACUGCGCGAUGCCACCUUCUCCCUGCUCCAUGCCCGCCUCCCCGCGGCUCUCCGAGCUCCGGCCAGUCACGCCGCUCUCUUGUUGCUCUAGCUGGGCCACGCAACGCCCCCAUCUUUUUGCUCCAUCCCUGUCGUCGCUGCCGCUCCUCGCCUCCAUGGGUGCACCAUCGCCCUUCCCCGCCAGCAUGGGCUGCUGCUCCUCUUCCCCUGUACGAGCCAUCGAUGAGCAUCAUCACGGCAGGGCAUUUUCGCCAAGAACAAUGGGAGGUGAGGGUGAAGCUGGGGGGAGCCACUUUUUUCCGCUCCCCCUCCACCGAAUGGCUCUAGUCAACGGGAAUUGAGGAGCUUCUCCAUCGAAGCCGUUCGUUGGCUCUAGCUAAAGAGACCCUUAGCGAUUGUAAUGUAAAAGUUACCCCCUCCAUCUUGACCUGACAAGACAUCUUAAAGAUUUUAGGACAUAUUAGCAUGAGUAGCAAAAGACGCUUGUACCCCUAAAUUAAUAGUAGUUGCAGAUAAUAAGGAACUUAUUUUUAGUAAUAAUCCACGAAUCAGCCAUCCUUAUUUUGUCAAUUAUAGAAAAAAUUAUAUGGCAAUCAUCCGAAUGUGGCUAGAAUGCUUCCAUUUUGUUAAAAAAGUUUCUAGUCUUAUUGUACUUUUCCCUUCACGCAGAAGGCUCCGGCGUGCACUGAAAAGGCCAAAUAAAUUCGACGGAUCAGGUUCCCUACUAGUACUAAUAAUGUACUGAUACAUUGAAUGAAUUCGAUCGAAUAACACCAAUUCGGCGGGAGUAUUUUAGGAGCACCUAAUAUAUCGUGGGGAGUACGCGGCGUGAACUCAAAACCAUUUUGUGCAGCCAGCCAGCCACAUGCAUCCAAAAGAUCCAUGACAGUCUCACAACUCACCACUCUCACGACUCACGAGCGCUUGUUUUUUUCUCUCCGGGCAUCUUGAAAAUAUUUUCAAGCAACCUCCUCACCAUGACCUGACGUCCUGACCUCGCAGGCAUCGUCUCCUGCAGCCCAAAGCCAACGCAAAGCUCCAACCAGCAGGAUAGAGGAGCGUCGUAUUCACUCAUUUCGGUUUUCAUUUUUGCCGCUCAAAACAAAGUGAGAAAAGAAAGGGAAUUUACCAAGGACAGAGACGCUGACCGGCCGUCCAACGCGCUCCCGCGGUGAGAGAUACAGCACUCCUCUGCCUCCCCUGCCAUCACACUAUAUAUAAAGCAGCCUCCUCGCUGAUCUCCUCCGCCAUCACACACCACCGCUCACCUCGCCUCAGCCUCACACAUCACAGCCUCGGUCACUCGCAGACAAGAACCCAAGCCUCGCCCUCGGCAUCGCUGAAAUAAUUCAUGGCGUCGCACCACGGCCCCAAGCACGUGGCGCCGAUGGAGGUGUCGGUGGAGGCCGGGAACGGUGGCGCCGCCGAGUGGCUGGACGACGACGGCCGCCCGCGCCGCACGGGCACGGUCUGGACGGCCAGCGCCCACAUCAUCACCGCCGUCAUCGGCUCCGGCGUGCUCUCCCUCGCAUGGGCCAUCGCGCAGCUCGGCUGGGUCGCCGGCCCCGCCGCCAUGCUCCUCUUCGCCUUCGUCACCUACUACACCGCCACGCUGCUCGCCGAGUGCUACCGCACCGGCGAUCCCGACACGGGGAAGCGCAACUACACCUACAUGGACGCCGUGCGCUCCAACCUCGGCGGCGCCAAGGUGGCCUUCUGCGGCAUCAUCCAGUACGCUAACCUCGUCGGCGUCGCCAUCGGCUACACCAUCGCCUCCUCCAUCAGCAUGCAGGCCAUCAGGAGGGCCGGCUGCUUCCACAAGAAUGGGCACGGCGUCCCGUGCAAGAGCUCCAGCAACCCAUACAUGAUCCUCUUCGGUAUCACGCAGAUCCUCUUCUCGCAGAUACCGGACUUCGACCAGAUUUGGUGGCUCUCCAUCGUCGCCGCCGUCAUGUCCUUUACCUACUCGUCCAUCGGGCUCGCCCUCGGCAUCGCGCAGACCGUCUGUAUGUUCUUGACGAUUCAAUCGGAUUGCUCACGAUAUUUGUGAAGUGAUUGCUCGACUGUUAGUUCCUGACAAAUGCUCAAUUAAUGCAAUUGCAGCCAACGGUGGAUUCAAGGGAAGCCUCACCGGCAUCAGCAUCGGCGCCGACGUCACCUCCACGCAGAAGAUCUGGCACAGCCUGCAGGCCUUUGGCGACAUCGCCUUCGCCUACUCCUUCUCCAACAUCCUCAUUGAGAUUCAGGUAAGCAAAAGCCUCCUGUUCUCUGCUCUGAUUUAAUUUCUUCAGUCAACUUGAGAUUCCUCUGUUCCUAAUAAUCAAGGCUUGCUCUGUUUAACUCUUCUUCAGGACACGAUCAAGGCGCCGCCGCCGUCGGAGUCGAAGGUGAUGCAGAAGGCGACGCGGCUGAGCGUGGCCACGACCACCAUCUUCUACAUGCUGUGCGGGUGCAUGGGCUACGCCGCGUUCGGAGACAACGCGCCGGACAACCUCCUUACAGGCUUCGGCUUCUACGAGCCCUUCUGGCUCCUCGACGUCGCCAACGUCGCCAUCGUCGUGCACCUCGUCGGCGCAUACCAGGUGUUCUGCCAGCCCAUCUUCGCCUUCGUCGAGCGCCGCGCCGCCGCCGCCUGGCCGGACAGCGCCUUCAUCUCCAAGGAGCUCCGCGUGGGCCCCUUCGCACUUAGCCUCUUCCGCCUGACGUGGCGGUCGGCGUUCGUGUGCGUCACCACCGUCGUCGCGAUGCUCCUCCCCUUCUUCGGCAACGUCGUCGGCUUCCUCGGCGCCGUCUCCUUCUGGCCGCUCACCGUCUACUUCCCAGUCGAGAUGUACAUCAAGCAGCGCCGCGUGCCUCGCAUGAGCACCAAGUGGAUCUGCCUGCAGACGCUCAGCAUCACCUGCCUCCUUGUGUCCAUCGCCGCCGCCGCGGGCUCCAUUGCCGACGUCAUCGUCGCCCUCAAGGUCUACCGCCCGUUCAGCAGUUAACUGUCUCCGGCCGUACGUGCAUGCAGCAUUCAUUGCGUUUAACUUCGGUUAACCGUGGUGUCAGAUGUUUGCAACGUGGCCCUUACAGAAAUGUGAUAUUAAUUAAGGUGUAAGGAUUAGGCACCCUUGUGCACAGGCUGGCCGCAUUCCUUGGAAAGACAAGGGGUGUGGACAGAAUGGCAGGAGGUGUUUGUUUAUGAUGAGUCAUCUAGCGUAGGGUGUCUGGUGCAAAAGUACCAGUUUUCUUAUUUUUUUUACUUUUUUUUUGGUUUUUGUCAUGGUUCUAGUUUCAUAGCUUUUCCUUUUUAUUUUGUUCGCAACCAGUUGUACCGGAUAAAAGUAUAUGAAGGGGGGAAAAACAAUUUACAUAUGAAGCCAUGCCACUCUCUAUUUGUUUGUUAGUUUAAGUUGGCCUCAUCAGAGAAAAAAAAUGUUCAGUGGGAGAUAUCAAGUGGAAGCAAAAUAUUCUCUGAAGUUAAGGGGAAAUAUGAUUCCUGCAUUCAUUUUUUUUUAUAAAAAAAGACACGGUGGGGUUCCAUGCGCAUUACAUUUCUAGUAGGUGAUAGCCUUAGUCCUUGUACAUACAUUGAAAAUUAACGCAAAAAUUGAUGAUAAGCCGUUGGCUACCUCCUCAAAUUAUUAUUUCAGUUACAACUUGGAAAAGAUCCAGCAAAACCUUGUCUUCAUUGUUGGGUUCUCGUCUCAAUAUCUUUAUUGAGAAACUAACUUUGUUUUUCUUUUCAUGAGAAACUCGGUCCUUUAACAGAAAAAAAAAGGUGACUUUAAUACAAGAGAAAAUAGCUUUUUCUUGGUGGGUUCCCAUUUGCUCCCGCUUCUGUCAACCGUACACUUACCAAGCCACUUGCCCCAGGAACAAAUCCCCUCGCAUCGAAACAGGGGGCCUUUAGUUACCAGUGCAAUUUUGAUUUUAAUUCGCGAGCAACUGCAACGAUGGUUCUGGAGCUUACAAAGUAGUUGCAGUAGUUUCCUGCUCCCCUCAAGAUCGAGUCGCAGAAUAUGUCAGAAGUGGCAAACAACAACAAUUGACUUGAGAAUCCAUCAGAAAUUAAACUUCACUGAUCGACGAUGAUCCUCAGCUGCUUAUAUGUAUAUUGCCCCUGACGUCAACUCAGGAAUAAGAAGAUAGCUGGAAUAUUGGUAGGCGAUGACCGGCCAGCAGCCGAGGGCUCUGGAAGAAGCAAUGAUUCAGCAGAUCAGCUGGGACGGAUCCGCGGAGAGGUCGAUCGAUGGGCCGGUCGAGGAACAUUCAUGCCGAUCGAGAUGUGAACGGAAGUGGAGAAUCUUAGGUACAGAUGAUGAUAAGCCUUCCAAUCCAAAGAGGAAACGGGUGGUGAGACAAGCUGGACGGAAUGAUUGAGUAGUCGGGAACGGAAGCUGUUCUGGACCAUUAAUUCUGUGUUGCUUUCGUCUCGAUCGGCCCCGCCUUUUAAUUUUGUUCUCUCUUUUCUGGCACGGGGAGAUUAUGCUUUUUCCGGCCGGAGAGGAUCGGACGAACGGCCUGGGAGAGGAUGGAAUCCCGGGGACGGAAUGUGUUAUCGCUGUCGGUUUAGUUGAUGAGCUCUUCAAAUUGGAUGUUUGGAUUUGCUUGCUUGGAGAUACAUACUAGUUCGUUAACGGGUCGUUUUUCAAUUUGAGAAUCUGCUACUAUUACAGGGAUCGGAUCUUCAACAAUUUACGGUACAAGCAAUUACUAUGGGCCCAUGCAUGGACAAACCAACAUUCCUGAGUACGUUGGGAUGACUUGGCAAUAUAAUGCAUGCAGAUUGUAAUAAGCUCAGUCAUGCAUGCAUGACACGUGGGCCCGAGAGACUUGUGCGCACGAUGGAGUCGUGUCUGGUAGUCGGCAUCCUCCAUGUACCCCACCACAAGUACUAUCUAGCAAGAGCAUCAAGGGAGUAGCUUUUUACCAGAGAUCGCAGAGGUAGCUAACUGGUGGAGGUGGAGCAACAAAGAGAGGCAGGAAUCCGCGUCUCCGACGAUGGCAACGGCACGACCGGUCCUUCAUUCCCCGCCUUUCCCCUAGCAUAGGUACUGUACAUUCUAGCUAGCUACAGCUAUACAGCCAGACCGUCGUGUGCCGUUACCGUUGCCGGCGCACAGUGCAGAGGAGUCACACUCUAGGGAGGGAGUAGGGACAACUAGUACUCCUAGCUGUAGCAAAGGGGUACUGAACGGUGGGUGGCUGCUUGCCCCGAGCCCGCGACCCUUUCGAGCUAGAGCACCUUUUGGACAGUAGUCCUGAUACUUCGCUGUUGGGGCUUGGAAAGUCAACUCCAAUCGGCGGCCGGCCAUUGUCAGCGCGCCUUUAGCGAGUCCGUCGGAGGUCAACGCCGAGUCUCCCGUGCUGUACGCGCCGGCUGUAUAUAGGGCUUGUGUAGUGCAGCCCACCAGUGACUGGUAGCCUCCAUAGGGGUGUUAGCUAUCUAGGCUUGUGCAGUGCAAAAGGAGGUCCUAAGCCAGUCUUACCUAGUACGCAUCUCACGAGCAUUCCCCGCUAGCCAGGCUCCGCGUAGCAAAGCGUUAUGGUUCCCUCACCUCUCCUCUCCUCCGCCGGUGAACCCCUCACGCACUGCUCCUUCGCACACGAGCUCCUCUCGACUGCUGCUUCCUUGCCGACGGUGCGCUCCAGCUCGGUGACCGCCCCAGGAUGGCGUGCCUCACCUCUGUCACAUGCAUCGUGCUCGCCGCCAAGGUCAAGAAGAUGCGCAUAUCUCUGCUCCUCACCCUCCAGCUCGGCGCCACCGCUAGCAGGAGGCCAUGGAGCGAGCCAUGGCAAUGAGCUCAAUGUAGUAGGCCCAAGGCGAGCUCGAGACAGGCAACAUAUGCUUUUCCUUGCCUCCUGUUAUCUCCCGUUCCUAUGGAAAAUUUCAAUUUGUGUUGAGGGUACGUCUUAGGGGGUGUUUGGAAGGAGGGGGCUAAACUUUAGUCCCGUCACAUCAGAUGUUCGAAUACUAAUUAGGAGAACUAAAUAUAAACUAAUUACAAAACUAAUUGCAGAACCCCUAGGCUAAAUCGCGAGAUGAAUCUAUUAAGCCUAAUUAAUCCAUCAUUAGUGAAUGGUUACUGUAGCACCACAUUGUCAAAUCAUGGACUAAUUAGGCUUAAUACAUUCGUCUCGCGAUUUAGCCUAGGGGUUGUGUAAUUAGUUUUGUAAUUAGUCUAGGUUUAAUACUCCUAAUUAGUGUCCAAACAUUUGAUAUGACGAGGGCUAAAAUUUAACCCCCUCCUCCCAAACACCCCCUUAGGUGGAUUAAGGCUAAGGACUCCCUUAUGUAUAAAAAGAGGUCUGAAAUGGAGUCUAAAGGGCUUGUUUGUGAUGGUUAGGAAUCCAGUUGUAACAUUCAGGGAUCGUCAGCGACCAUAUCUAUAAUAUUCAAUCCCACCAAUGAAAUUAAUAUAAAUAGUCACCUCCUCCUCCCUGUAAAUAGAGCUCCAGGGCUUGGAGCAGGAGAUUCUUGACCAUUUGCUCACUUGUUCACUUGGCUUGUUAUAUCUCUCUUUCUUUCCUUCUCCCUCUGAUUUCUAAUCCCAACAAUCUGGCAGGCGGAAGGAUGGUUACAGUGCUGUGACAAGCUUGAUUUGGAUAUUGGUGACCUCGAAUUGGAUACUUGUUGGCUCGAUUUGGAUGUUUAUUGGCUUGAUUUGUAAGUCAGCGAGUUCGAUUUGGAAGUCAGCGAGUGAGCAAGAACGCAUAGGCAGAUGGAACGAGUGAGCCAGAACGCAGAGCCAGAUGGAGCUCCGCCUCCAGCGCAUAGCGCCCCCCAUCGCAGGUGACGCGGCAGCCACUCCUCCCCGUCAUCACCAGCUUCUUCCAACGGCGGCUCGCAGAGCAGCAGUAGGUGAAAGCGGGGACGGAUUGGGAAAGAAGAAGAGGAAGAGACGAUGGGUGGUAACUUCACCUACAGGAAAUUCAAGGUUAUUCUAUCACAUUGUGUAGCCAACCAAACAUGAGCAUAACAAACUAGGCUAUCUUUAUCUACCCAACUAAACACGAGCAAUUUGUAUUAAUUUAGCCUGAUCAAAUUUGACCUGGGUUAGAAUUAGCCUGGCUAGAAACUAGUGCAUCCCACCCAUCACUGCCUAUAGCAACGAGGUGAAAUACCGUGUCCCUCCAUUUAUUGUGUGGAGUCGUUGAAAAUACAAUGUUUCGAGAGUACGUAGAGCAGAGGGCGCCAAAAAGUGAUCGACGUGGACUCGUGGUGCUGUUUUUGUUUGCACGGGUGGGUUGUAGAGCCUUGCAAGCUUCCUUGUUCCCCCUGUCGUCGUCCACAGCAUGGGUCGUACGUGUACUUACGUCAAGAUUAGGUGGUCUUGUGUCAAGUCCCCUGCUAAUAUAAUUUCGUACCAAAUGCAUGAACUUUCGUGGUCAGAAUUUCGUGUACGUCUUUCUCUACGUGCACCGUCCCCAAGCACCACCCUCUUUCUUCCUAAUCCUACCACAUACCAGUGCGCGGGUGCGACAGUGCAGGCCGACCACGGCGUCCGGUCAAAGAGGUGGGCCGCGGGGUCAGAGCGCCGGUGGGCCCUCGCCAGCGCGCGGUUGCUGGGCGCCACGACACGUCCCCCUCACUCCACGCAGCAGCGGCUUCAAUUCGGUGUCGUGAUGCGCUUGCUUAUCAUCGAUGCGGUUGGCUACCGAUGGCGCGCGCGCGCACGUGAGGUCGCGCGAUGCGGUUGGCUACCGAUGGCGGUGUGGCAUAGUACAGUACUAACCCUGAUGAUGCAUGGUGGCCUCGAGAUUUUUAGUCUAAUCUAACCCUGAUGAUGGAGCGUGCAUUAUUGAGGAUUCCAUCAUCUCGUUUCCAUCCUUGUCCUGCUCGCGUCGCGUCGCGCGUUUGCGUGCCGACCUGAUCAUCGAUGCUCCGGCCGGCUCCCAUGGUAGGUAGGUAGGUAAGAUCGACGGCGUUCGAUCGUUUAUGCAUUGCCUGCCCCGGUUAGCUACUAGUAUAGGCCACUCUAAUCUCGCUCCGAAGCCAGAAACGAACUAAAAGCAUGCGGAUUAUUAAAAACUGUUUCCGGUUGGAGGCAGGGACUUCUGAGUGACAGUAAGCGUGAGAGGGGAGGCAGCAGGUUGCGCUCGCGGCUUACAUUAGCUGUUGCUGUUCCUAACCAACAACACGUACCAAGCUGCGUACGGUGACGGUGACCUGCUUGGUUGAGCAAGGGAUGAUGGAUGCUGAGCGCGCGCGUGUCGACAUGUCGCUACAGCCGUGCUCCGCAGUCCGCGCAUUCCGGCCGGCCAAAGUGAUGAGAGUACGAGACGUGUCGGACGUGCCGCGAACACGGCAGGGCGACGCGGAGUUGGGCAGGGGGCGGAGUGCGUGUGCGUGUGCGUGGUUGGUUGGGCGCCAGCCGACGAGCCUGCUCCUUUCCUACGGCUCGCCCGGGCUGGGCUAUAAUCCAAGUUGGCAUUCUCCAGCCGUCCGGGAAAAGUCCGCAGCUUAUUUCCACGCGCGACGAUCGAUCGACCAAUUUGCACCGGUGCCCACUCCCUCACUCACGCUCACGGCCAUUGGUCCUGAGCAUCACGGCCGCAAAGCAAAGCAGAGGCCACCACCUUUCUUCCUUUCCGUCAUCGUCCAGCGCAGAAAAAAAGCACCCGCACCUCGUUCAUUCCGCAACUGGCAUAUAUGCGCAUGAUAUAAUACAUACACGUACAUGAGCUUUUCGCUUUUACUUACAAGAAAAAAUGCUAAAGUAUACUUCCAGAUCGGACUAUACAUAUGAACUGAUCAUUAUAUUGACGCUUUAUACCAAAGAUAACAACUCAACUCAGCUUUUAUAAUUAUAAUUUCACUUGCCGGUUCUCCACCAGUUUCCCUUUUAUGGUGCCUUUUUCAGCACGUGCGUUGAACCUGCUGCUAGUUAAAACUUUCAUCGCGAUCUUCAUCCAGCUUUCUCCUCCGUACAUCCUGUUCGCUUCAGCUUAUCAGCCGGCUUAUCAGCCACCGAACAGUAUUUUUCUCUCACAACAAAUCAGUCAUUUCAGCUUUUCAGCCGGCUUAUAAGUUCAGCCGAACAGGCUCUGGGAUGAUGGCAAAGCAUGAGACAAACUAUAUAGUAGGAGUAUUACACAAUGCUAAACGUGGACUACUGAUGUAAAUGCCCUUCAAGCCAACCAUGUUUGCUCCAUCUAUAUUACGUGAGCAACCUCGUCGUCUCAUCCUUGCUCUAAGCAGCAUGCAGGUUACUUACACCUAAAAAAGGCCUGUUUGGAUAAUCACAUUCCCUCCUCCUGAUACAUUUGGCUAGGAGUAAUUUAAAAAAGAACUAAUUUCCAUGUCAAUCAAUCUCCAUAUAUACGUAUGAAUCGUAUUAGAAGGCAUUGUUAUUCUAAUGUCCAAGCAAGACAAAACUUAAGUGUAUAUCUCUCCUUUGGUUUCCAAAUGAAGUCUGUACGCAUGAAUGGAGAACAUUGACCGCUACCACGCACAAAAGAGCAACAAAUAAUUGAUCAUGACGAAUCGGCAUUGACUCUAGCUACAAGUAGUGUACCUACCAUUACAUUUCAAAGCCAUCGCCGUCGAAUCCGAAGCUCCCAGCAAGUUACCUAGCUAAAGGAACUGGCUGGUAGCCGCGCGCAUACAGUUGCGUGCUGAAAAGAAACAAAAUGCUUUAUUGACUUUUGCCAAGAGUUCAAAGAAUAAGCAACGUGCACACACAAUCCUAUAGACUAUAGGUGUGGUUGGUUACGCGCAUGAGGACCGUCCUGGACUAGUGGAUUGGUAUCAUCUCGCGGAGAUGACCGUUUGGUUGCCUGUACAGGCUAAACUAUUGCAUAUGCUAAACUAUCUAAACUAUAAGAGGACCAUAUAUCUGCUACGAUGCGACCCUUGUAUCUGCUUGGUGAAGUAGGGCAGCAUAAUCAUGGGUUCACACUCAAGAAAUAUAUAUUCAUGGAUAGGAUACAAUGCAUAUAUACAUGCAGUAGUUUGGUCUCUUUGUUCAUAUAUCCAUGCAACAGGUUAAACGUUUGUCCAUGGAUAUUAGGAUAUAGAUCGUUCAAGGUCCAAGAAAACGGCCGGGGAUAUGUAGUCAAUCGAUUAGGUGACUCGGAGACUAGUUUGCAAAGAUAUGGUUAGGACUUUGUUGUUGAAAUGUACGAUGUGUAGUCGCAUUUCAUGAGGGAAAGAGUGAUGCUACAUAAUCGAAUUGUCAAAAAGGUCGCGGCAACUUGGCAUGAAGCUAUCAUCAAAAGAUAUCAGAUACUCCAUCCGUUUCAAAAUGUAGGUCGUUCUAACUUUUCUAGAUGUAUAUAUUUUGCUAUGUAUCUGGACAUAACUACUCUAUCUUUAGAUGCGUAGGAAAAUCUAUAUAUCUAGAAAAGCUAAAAUCAUCUACAUUUUGUAACGGAUGGAGUAUCACAUAAGUCAAGCAUAUGAGUCCUGCAAAUUAAGAACAAGUCCUAUAUAUAUGUACAUCAAAGUUGGUCAUAUGGAAUGAUCAAGUGAACACAAACACAUUAGUCAUAGGCUCAUAGCUAUGGAAGAUCAUCUAUAAUUAUUCCAUAAACACCUAGCGAAGAUAUGGCAUGGCCCAAGGGUGUGAAAGUUUUCCUACCUAUCAUCAACGAAUGGCUUUAUGUUUGGGCCGUUCUGGAGUGGUUAUUUCUUGAAAUGACAAUGCAUGCUCAUCCGCAAUUCCGCGCAUAAAGUAUCAAUACUGCAUUAGGUAUGUUUCCUUGUUGAACUUUGGGUGACAAAACAUUAGAUUCACCCGUUCGACCAGUACUUGAAGUGUGAACUUGAGGCUCCAUCAACAGAUGCUAUCUAUAAAAGACUUUAUCAAAUAAAAUAUGUAUUCAGCAAGAAAACGUGUUGAAGUUCUUUUAGUGGUGAGCGUAUAUGCAAGGUAGGGAAAAAAAACACGCUUGAUGACCGACAAAACUCUAAACCCUAUAAUGUCCUUUGUUUCCAAUAUAUAGCUUUACUCCAUUUAAAAGUUUACAAAAUGCAAUAAACUAAACUUAACAUUGUGAAGGUUACUGAUAGUUCUUUUAGUGGUUAGCGUAUAUGCAAGUAGGAAAAAAAACACGCUUGAUGGCCGACAGAACUCUAAACCCUAUAAUAUCCUUUGUUUCCAAUAUGUAGCUUUACUCCAUUUUAAAAGUUUACAAAAUGCAAUAAACUAAACUUGACAUUGUGAAGGUUACUGAUAGUUCUUUUAGUGGUUAGCGUAUAUGCAAGGUAGGAAAAAAACACGCUUGAUGGCCGACAGAACUCUAAACCCUAUAAUGUCCUUUGUUUCCAAUAUGUAGCUUUACUCCAUUCUAAAAGUUUACAAAAUGCAACAAACUAAACUUAACCUUGUGAAGGUUACUGAUAGUUCUUUUAGUGGUUAGCGUAUAUGCAAGCUUGAUGGCCGACAGAACUCUAAACCCUAUAAUGUCCUUUGUUUCCAAUAUAUAGCUUUACUCCAUUUUAAAAGUUUACAAAAUGCAAUAAACUAAAAUUGACAUUGUGAAGGUUACUGAUAGUUCUUUUAGUGGUUAGCGUAUAUGCAAGGUAGGAAAAAAAACACGCUUGAUGGCCGACAGAACUCUAAACCCUAUAAUGUCCUUUGUUUCCAAUAUGUAGCUUUACUCCAUUCUAAAAGUUUACAAAAUGCAACAAACUAAACUUAACCUUGUGAAGGUUACUGAUAGUCAAGUUUUGAAAGGAAACUUGUAAACGUAAAGUACUUGUUGAUGAAGCAAGUGAAAUUUUAAGAUUGGCUAAUAAAUCAGUAAAAUUUGGAAGAAAAAUUGACAGGUGAAGAAAAUAAUUUCUUUAGUGCUUUUGUCUCAUCAAGCUCAAAUUGAGGUCACAAGAAGUUCCACAAUGCCACUCGCAGAUUGACAAGUGGCGAGAAGUUUAGGACCCACUGCUAAUCUUAAUCGAGGUGAGUGGUUUGGUGAUUUGGCAUCCAGUUGUGUGUCUUUGUGUGAGACCGCUGUUUCCAACUAUCUCUAAGGCAAAGGCUCAGUUCACAAUCAGUGUUACUUGAAAUCCUUCGAGCGUCAGGCAAAAUCAGGUGCUUGAGGAGUGCCUCUUCGGUGAAGUUAACCGCUGAACGGCCGGUAAACUUUGAGGGCGGCGAUGACGUCGGCAAUGGAGCCGGCGGCGGCGGCAAUUGACACAAUUAGGCAACCGACGCUGAGCAUCUGGAGGCAGAUCCACUUGGUGCUGCCGCGAGGCACACGGCGCUGCUUGAUGUACAUCUCGACGGGGAAAUAGACGGUGAGCGGCCAGAAGGAGACAGCGCCGAGGAAGCCGACGACGUUGCCGAAGAAGGGGAGGAGCAUCGCAACGACGGUAGUGACGCACACGAACGCCGACCGCCACGUGAGGCGGAACACGCUGAGCGCGAAGGGGCCCACGCGGACCUCCUUGGAGAUGAAGGCGCUGUCCGGCCAGGCGGCGGCGGCGCGGCGCUCGACGAAGGCGAAGAUGGGCUGGCAGAACACCUGGUAGGCGCCGACGAGGUGCACGACGAUGGCGACGUUGGCGACGUCGAGGAGCCAGAAGGGCUCGUAGAAGCCGAACCCCGUGAGCAGGUUGUCCGGGGCCUUGUCACCGAACGCGGCGUAGCCCAUGCACCCGCACAGCAUGUAGAAGAUGGUGGUCGUGGCCACGCUCAGCCGCGUCGCCUUCUGCAUCACCUUCGACUCCGACGGGGGCGGCGCCUUGAUCGUGUCCUGAAGAAGAGUUAAACAGAGCAAGCCUUGAUUAUUAGGAACAGAGGAAUCUCAAGUUGACUGAAGAAAUUAAAUCAGAGCAGAGCACAGGAGGCUUUUGCUUACCUGAAUCUCGAUGAGGAUGUUGGAGAAGGAGUAGGCGAAGGCGAUGUCGCCAAAGGCCUGCAGGCUGUGCCAGAUCUUCUGCGUAGAGGUGACGUCGGCGCCGAUGCUGACGCCGGUGAGGCUGCCCUUGAAUCCACCGUUGGCUGCAAUUGCAUUAAUUUUGGGCAUAUGUCAGGAACCAAGAAACUAUCAAUCACUUCACGUCUUAACGGAUACCUUGACCAACCCGACUGAAUCAAGAACUUACAAAUUGUCUGUGCGAUGCCGAGGGAGAGUCCGAUGGAAGAAUAGGUGAAGGACAUGACGGCGGCGACGAUGGAGAGCCACCAUAUCUGAUCAAAGUCGGGUAUCUGCGAGAAGAGGAUCUGAACAACGCCGAAGAGGAUCAUGUACGGUGUGCUCGAGCUCUUGCACGGGUCGGCGUGCCCGUUGGUGUGGAAGCAAUCGGCUCUCCUGAUGGCCCUCAUGCUGAUUGACGACGCGAUGGUGUAGCCGAUGGCGACGCCGACGAGGUUGGCGUACUGGAUAACACCGCAAAACACCACCUUGGCGCCGCCGAGGUUGGAGCGCACGGCGUCCAUGUAGGUGUAGUUGCGCUUCCCGGUCUCCGGGUCGCCGGUACGGUAGCACUCGGCGAGCAGCGUGGCGGUGUAGUAGGUGACGAAUGCGAACAGCAGCAUGGCGGCGGGUCCGGCGACCCAGCCGAGCUGCGCGAUGGCCCAGGCCAGCGAGAGCACGCCGGAGCCGAUGACGGCGGUGAUGAUGUGCGAGCUGGCCGUCCAGAACGUGCCCGUGCGGCGCGGGCGGCCGUCGUCGUCCAGCCACUCGGCGGCGCCGGCGUUCCCGGCCUCCACCGACACCUCCAUCGGCGCCACGUGGUUCGUGCCGUUGUGCACCGCCAUGGAUCACUAGUACCGAGCUCCUUCUCUCAGCGUUCUCGUCCUCGGACUUAACAGCUAGCUGCUAAGAAAGUGUGGUGUGAAGGGAGGUGAGCGGAGGUGGUGGUGUGUGGAAUGGAAUGGAAGGAGGUGGCCUUUAUAUAGAUGGGAUGAAGGUAUGAAGCAGAGGAGCGCUGCGCUGCGCGUCGUCGUCGUCGCGGCGGGAGGCGCUCACUCUGGUCAGCGCGUUUGUCUGCGCGUGCCCUAUACACUACUUUCUAUCUUGAUCAUUGGAGUCUUGCGUUGACUAUGGUCGACGGUUUUCUUUGGAGGGCGAACGCUGGUGCAGGAACGUGGUUGUCUAUCUUAGUCGGUCGCAGUUGUACGUUUAUAUAGGGUGAAAUUGGUGAUUGUGAUCAUCUGGGACUCUAACUUGAAUUACAAGAAGAACCUAUAAGCAAUCCGAGUCAAUUUCUAAGAUCACAACAGUACUAAUCCUUUUACAAACAUAUCUCUAACACAGCCCAACUAGGAAGGGAACACCCUGUAACAUGCUUUCGAGAAAUUGCAUUGCAUGUUCUUAAUAAUCUCAGAAUUUGCCGGAAUUUCAUGUGCAUAGAUACAGUUUAGCACGAGGAAAGAAGGCAAGGAAUGCAUGGAAUUUGCAGGGCCACAGACACCCCAUGUUCUCUAAACUCACUCCGGCAGAAAGCCAAACUCAUCUCCAGACUCCGGCCAGUGCGUUGGAUUCGGCGGGGAGCAGGGCCACGAGUUCCACGACGCAAAACAGCGACCUCCGGCGAGCGGUGGUGCGUGUUGGGGCCAGACGGCGGGGCCGGGCCGGCUGCUCGACGCGCCGUUGGGCCGCUGGCCGGCAGCUCCGUUUCCCUUUCUUUCUUUCUGAGGUAGGUCAAGCGCGUGCACGACGUCAUACCUUAUCCCCGCUCUCUUCGUGCUUGCGCUGCGCAGACAGUGACCGGAGCGGCCGGCCAGCAGGUGACCACGACGCCACUGCGCGCCGGCGACUCGCAAGAGUCUCCCGGGUCAGCCGGCGUGCAGUUUGCGGGAAAGCGUAGUUCUUGCAGCCUGAACUCGAGGCUGCCGCCUAUCCCCCAGGCCCCAGCAGACAUACAUUCGUUUCUGACGAAACGGAGUGAACUGGACCGCUCCGUGCCUGCCGGGCCAAAAUUGCAGGCCUCAUGUAGUCAUGUUGGGUCAGCUGGCUUGGGGCCUCGGGCCAUCUGGACAAACGUAGCCAGGGGCCAUGCUAACGGGUGCGCGCCUGCCCGAAAGCUUCCCAGCCAUGGAUCCCCCACAACUCUCACUCGAACUUUUUAUUUUUGAAAAAAUUUAAUUUCCGCAACUUAUCAUUUUUAAAAUUUCAUAACUUAUACAUAUAAUUUUAACGCAUAACUUCGUAAUUUUUCAACACAACUUUGAUGGCAUGCAAAAUUUAUAUGUAUAACUUCUACUUACAAUUUUUAAAGAAUAACUUCAAAUUUUUAUUUUCAGAAAGUUAUAACUUAUGCAUCUGAUUUAUACGCAUAAAUUUUUUCCUAUCAACAAGUUACGUGAUAAUUUUUUAGCAUAAUUAUCGUGAUAUAAACAAUUUGGCAUAGCGUCUGCCACAAUUUUUAUGAGAAUAUUAUUAAAUAACUUAUCUACAGAACUUAUACACAUAAACGAUAUUUACUUGAUUACAAAUAAUGAUAUGGAAAAGAAAUAAUCAAAUGAAAAAACAAAAAAAGGAAAAGAGCAAUCGGCGUGCACAGCACCGCGCUUCCGCGUGGGGGCAGCACUGGCAUGGCAGUAGAGCCCCUGACCGCCCGCAGCUCCGCGUCACGCAUCACGAAGCGAGCUGACGCGCGCGGGAUCAGCUUCGUGUAUAUCCAGCCACAACAAUGCCUUCGUUUUUUUCUCUUUUCAUAAGGGAAGUUUCUAUUUUGUAGUAUCCAAUUCAUUAGUGUUUCUUCCUGCUGUGGCUUACAUAUCCUAUUUUGAUGGAAUUAAUCCUAACUUUAUAGUUUAAUCAGGCUUGGACCAGCUUACGAUCGUUGUCACUUCAAAUGUACCAUCUCCAAGUUAAUAUUUUUUCAUGAAACGAGAAAAUGAAGGGUAAAAGAGGUGUGCUAUGCAUGCAUAUGCAGGUUCAUUCCACGAACUGGGCCAUACUUCCGGCCUCUGUGGAUUAUCAGUGUGACCCAUGUUACCCGAGUAUGUGAGAUGCUCUAGGCUUACCCUAUAUGCAUAUCAUUACUUUAUACUGUAUAAAUGUAUAACAUGGUUGCUAAUCAUCUCUUCUACUUGGGGAGUGCUCAACUGUGCUAUAAACUGCUAUUUAAAGUGAGAUACUCCUUAAUUCCAUUAAAACAUGCAUCAUUUUAUUAUUUUGAUGUAUUUUUCUGAUGAAACUUAUAGUCCUUUGGAGUAUUUCAAUAAAGGAUGCAACUUACAUGGUUGCCAAUCGUCUCUCCUACUUAGGAAGUGGACCUGCUGUUUAAGGCGAGAUACACCUUAAAUACCUAAAUUUGCUUGUAAAUUACACACCUCUAUCAUUUUUAAAUAACAUAAAAUAUUUGUAAAUCUGCAUUUAAAGUACCUAUAUUUGUCAUUAAAAAAUAUUGCAAAGCACACAAAUAUAUGACGCUGCAUUACUUAUUUUCAAUAGUAACUUAUACUAUACAGGCAUGACCAUACAUGAUGCGAUGAGAAUGCCAAUCUUCAUGGAUUAAAUUAAACACAUGUCAAAUACAUAUCGAGAUUUACAAAGUGAACAAAACUAUGAACGUGCAAGGAGAAGUUUAAAAAGCAGUUCUCCUUCCCAUCUUCAAACAGUUAUUGUUUCAUUCAGCGACAGGGUCGCUAAGCCACUACGUACUUUGGUCACGAUCCAAUAGUAUUAGACAUGUUAAAUAUAGUAAAUAUAUAAUAUUUUGAAACAGCUGUUGAAGACAAAUCUGUGAUACCAUUUUCAAUAGUUUUUUUUAAUAUUCGAGGAGAUGAUGAUGGUUCAAAACUAAAAUAUGUUGACUCCAUGCAUCUCAAAAGGACAAUUGUUUAAAAAUUGGAGGCAGUAAUCCCUAACUAAAAUCUACUCCCUCCGUUCCAAAUUAUAAGUCAUUCCAACUUUCUUGGAAAGUCAAACAUUUUUAUGUUUGACUAAAAUUAUAGAGAAAAUCACAAAAGUUUAUGGCACCGAAUAGAUAUACUAUGAAAAUAUAUUUAAUGAAGAAACUAAUGGUACCUAUUUGAUAUCAUGAAUGUUAGCACUUUAUUGUAUAAAUUUGGUCAAACUUGAGAUGCUUUGACUCUCCAAGAAAGUUGGAAUGACUUAUAAUUUGGAACGGAGGGAGUAUUAAAUUAAUGAGAGAAAGGGAGGGAGGAAGAAAGAGAAGGGUGUAAACAGUUUAAAUUAUUAGCUGCAUGCCAUAAUUUUUUAAACUUUUAAUACUUAUUUCUCUCAAAAUUACUUAGUUCGUGCGGUAACACAGGUUGAUAAACUAAUGUGUAUAAUUGAUAUAUUGGCAUAUCGUUGACGCAUUAAACUUUCGAGAGAAAUAUUACUUUUGCAUAUCAAACAACUCUUUAAGACAAUGAUUCAAUGUAUUAAGAUCCUUCAGAAUUACACGGGACGACCUACUAGAAUCAAUAGUGGGGUACAUUUGGAACCACUAUGCUCGCUUCCUAUGGCGUCCAAAUGUGUGCAAAUCAGUGGUUAUCCUGAUCAGGAUUGCUCCGUUGGUAUCUACUAUCUAGAACAACUGUUUAGAGUACCUCUGUUUGCAUCAGGUGAGCUAUAGUAUACUUCCACCUUGUCCCAAAUUGUAGGUCGUUUUGGAUUUCUAGGUGUAUAGUUUUUGCUAUGUCUAGAUGUAUGUCUAGAUGUAUAGAAAAGCUAAAACAACCAACAAUUUAAAAUGGAAGGAGCAGGCUACAUCACGUCCUAAGUUAACCACUGAACGGCCGGUAGACCUUGAGGGCGUCGAUGACGUUGGCAAUGGAACCGGCCGCGGCGGCGAUGGACACAAUAAGGCAGCCGACGCUGAGCAUCUGGAGGCAGAUCCACUUGGUGCUGCCGCGUGGGACACGGCGCUGCUUGAUGUACAUCUCGACGGGGAAGAAGACGGUGAGCGGCCAGAAGGAGACAGCGCCGAGGAAGCCGACGACGUUGCCGAAGAAGGGGAGGAGCAUGGCGACGACGGUGGUGACGCACACGAACGCCGACCGCCACGUCAGCCGGAAAAGGCUGAGGGUGAAGGGGCCCACGCGGAGCUCCUUGGAGAUGAAGGCGCUGUCCGGCCAGGAGGCGGCGGCGCGGCGCUCGACGAAGGCGAAGAUGGGCUGGCAGAACACCUGGUAGGCGCCGACGAGGUGCACGACGAUGGCGACGUUGGCGACGUCGAGGAGCCAGAAGGGCUCGUAGAAGCCGAAGCCGGUAAGGAGGUCGUCCGGGGCCUCGUCGCCGAACGCGGCGUAGCCCAUGCAACCGCACAGCAUGUAGAAGAUGGUGGUCGUGGCCACGCUCAGCCGCGUGGCCUUCUGCAUCACCUUCGACUCCGACGGGGGCGGCGCCUUGAUGGUGUCCUGAUGAAGAGAUAAACGACAGAGCAAGCUUGAUUAAUUAGGAGCAGAGCAAUCUCAACUCUCAAGUUGAAGGCUUGAUUGAAUCAGAGCAGAGCACAGGAGGCUUUUUCUUACCUGAAUCUCGAUGAGGAUGUUGGAGAAGGAGUAGGCAAAGGCGAUGUCGCCAAAGGCCUGCAGGCUGUACCAGAUCUUCUGCGUGGAAGUGACGCCGGCACCGAUGCUGACGCCGGUUAGGCUGCCCUUGAACCCACCGUUGGCUUCAGUUGCAUUAAUUUUGAGCGUAUGUCAGCGACUAAGAAUCCAUCAACCACUUCACGGAUAUCAUGAGCAGUCCAAUUGAACCGAGAACUUACAGAUGGUCUGCGCGAUGCCGAGGGACAGUCCGAUGGUAGAAUAUGUGAAUGACAUGACGGCGGCGACGAUGGAAAGCCACCAAAUCUGAUCGAAGUCGGGUAUCUGCGAGAAGAGGAUCUCCGUGAUACCGAAGAGGAUCAUGUACGGGGUGCUGGAGCUCUCGCACGGGUCGCCAUGCCCAUUCUUGUGGAAGCAGUCUGCUCUCCUGAUAGCCUUCAUGCUUAUGGACGACGCGAUUGUGUAGCCGAUGGCGACGCCGACGAGGUUUGCGUACUGGAUGAUCCCGCAGAAGACCACCUUGGCGCCGCCGAGGUUGGAUCGGACGGCGUCCAUGUAGGUGUAGUUGCGCUUCCCCGUCUCCGGGUCGCCGGUGCGGUAGCACUCUGCGAGCAGCGUGGCGGUGUAGUAGGUGACGAAAGCGAAUAGGAGCAUGGCGGCGGGUCCGGCGACCCAGCCGAGCUGCGCGAUGGCCCAGGCCAGCGAGAGCACGCCGGAGCCGAUGACGGCGGUGAUGAUGUGCGAGCUGGCCGUCCAGAACGUGCCCGUGCGGCGCGGGCGGCCGUCGUCGUCCAGCCACUCGGCGGCGCCGGCGUUCCCGGCCUCCACCGACACCUCCAUCGGCGCCACCACCGCGUGGUUGCUGUUCAGGCCGCUGUGCGCCGCCAUGGGUCGCUGCUGCGGAGCGGGCGAGGGAGGGAGGGAUGUCUUGGAUAAAGGUCGGCGCCGAGUGAGGCUGCGAGGCUCCGGGUGUGUGUGUGUGGAAAGGGGAGGAGGUGGUGGGUGUAUUAUAUAGAGCGGAGGAAGCAGGGGGAGGCCGGUGGCCGUGUCCGCGCCGCGGAGGAGAGGGCGGCGGGUCAGCGCUGGUGCCUGCGCCUCUUGAUCGGUGGAGUCUUUUUUGUGUUGCCUUAAAUGCGACAGGGCAGUGGCCUGCGGUCAUAGAUGAAUCUGUUUUCUCUUAAGGGUGUUCGAGUUCAACAUAUGUCCCAUGGGAUGUUUGAUACGAAUUAUGAGUAUUAAAUAUAGUCUAAUUACAAAACUAAUUGUACAGAUGGAGUCUAAUUCGCGAGACGAAUCUAUUAAACCUAAUUAGUUCAUGAUUUGACAAUGUAGUGCUACAGUAACCAUUUGCUAAUGAUGGAUUAAUUAGGUUUAAUAGAUUCGUCUCACGAAUUAGUAUAGGAGUUCUGCAGUUAGUUUUAUAAGUAGCUCAUGUUUAGUCUCCUAAUUAAUACCCGAACAUCCGAUGUGACCCUCCUAAAGUUUAGUACCUCGUAUGCACGUUCUAAGGAGUACGUACGGAAGGAGACCGUAGCACGGCAGCAUGCGUGCGAUGUGCCUGCGCAGGCACCAGGCAAUGCACAACGGCUGAUGGAGUCACCCACCGGACGUACUACGGUGUCACUGGGGUCAUCAGCGGCCGCCGCCCACGCAGUUGGCGGGAAAGCUAAGCUAGCCUUUUCUAAUCUCCAUGGACUCACUGCGGAUAGAUGUUUGUUUCUUCUCUGCACCUGACGUUGGAUAUCAUUAUUAGGAGGCUGGAAUGCAAGUGUGAACAAACGAGGGAACUGAGUACUCGAUGAUGGAGUAUGCAUGCAUACCACUGUACGUGCCACCGCCUCCAUUCCAAGGUUGUACGGACGGGGUUUAGUGCAACAAUGUGGUUAGUUUUCCAAACUCUGACCACCGUACCCUUGACUUAUAUCUUCCCUUCACGUACUUUGCGUUCACACGCUGCAUGUCUUGCUGUCCUUUUUAACUAUUACCGCGUAAUGUUCAUACCGGCUCUUUUCCAACCAGUGCUGAAGCUCUGUGGUCAUGGCAUCAUGCACGGCGCCGGCUGCAUGCAGUACAAACGGGUGAAGAUCAAAGGCCUCACAAUUCUUUCGGAAAAGAGGGACAAAAUUAAGGUGCUGCUUGGCAGCACUUAAUAAUGAUAAGCAAACGUUGAAUGCCUUACUGUACAUAUGGCUAGUUAAUUUAGAGUUGUGCAUUCAAACAAACACGUGACAACGUCUCUGGAAAGCAUCGAAAAAGUAAGCGCAGGAACAAGUGUUACUACCUGCUACUUCCUCCAUUCCAAAUUGUAGGUCGUUUUUUACUUAGUUCAUAGAUAUUAUUACGCAUCUAAAUAUAUACUUAUAUCUACGUGCAUAAUAAAGUCAAAAUGACUUACAAUUUGGAACGGAGGGAGCAGUAAAUAAAAAGGCUGCAGCCACCUCCGAUAGGAAUCAAAUUUGUGAUCAUAGCCCUUUUUAUAUAUGUAGUCUUGUUCAUCAAUUGUCCUUUUACAAAUGAGGCAGUCGCAUUCCUUAUCCAUACAUAACGCACCUUGUCACUUUAUAUUAGCUGGUGGCCAUCGAUCAGUGCCAUUCUUCACACGUUUAUUUAACUGUAAUCUCAUCGUCAGACGAGAAUUCAUGGUCUACUAGCAAAAAGGGCGGAUAUAAACACGCUAAACAAUCCUCCCUUUGCGCUUUGAAUAAAGCACGUUAAAAUUUACCACUCAAAGAAAAUGAACGUCAAUGUAAUGGAGAUCGCAUAUCCAUGUUGCAUGAUACUUUGUUAAUUUCCCUCGGGAAUAUAUACUCUAGGCACGGCAUGGUAAGAUAAGAUGGCGGAAGCUGGACGCCCUUGUCGAAAACACGUGGCUCUGGAUUUGGAAUGUUACUAGAAUUGUCAGUGGAGUGGAGGCUGUCAGGAUUGAAUCACUGAUGUGGAGUUAGUGGUUUUGAGGGAACAGAGCAUCAAAUUAGGUGGUGGUCAUGUCUCGCUGCACUUUUUCGGCUUCUCCAUGAUUAACAAGAUGAUGACUCCUAUACCUUGGAUCGUGCGGUGCUUCUCCGUAUGUUCCGAUCACGACCAGCCCACAAGAAGUGCUCGUGCCUCACGUAUUGAGCAGAGCUCAGCUCCCUGCCUGACUGAACCGAACGUGCCACAAAGUUCAAAUAUUCAUUCCUUCACAGACAUAUGAAUGGGCCGGACUAAGCAUGCCCGGAAGCCCACCAGAAAGCCCGUUGCUGCUCCUGCCUUGCUGCUGGAUGGCAGGCCUCUCUCGGGGUCCUGGAGUGUGGGCCGUAUGACAGGCUUAGCAGGCCGGAAAUAACCCAUGACAACCUCCUAACUAGGCCGGCCUACUACACUCCCUCAAAAAAAAAAAUUAAGCCUACUUGUGUAUUAGAGUAACUUGCGUGCCAAUGGAACAAUUUCCCUGUUAAACAUUAUAGUCCCAUGCUUUUGAGCGAUCAUGUUGACUUGAAGCUUAAUUUUUUUUCAUAACACCUUGGCAUAUAAAUAUGAUGCUACAAUUUUCAUUUUCCCUUCUAAACCAACAUUUAAUUUUUGAGUGUUAUCCGUCGGAUUGCCUCUUUCUCUCUCAAGUUUGGGGGCACAAAAUCUUCUGGCAAAGACUGCCCUAUUACCCUGUAGCAACGACCUCACAAAUCCAAGUGUGGUAAAUCAAUUCCACGACUUCAUCUAGAGCAGCAUAAACUAAAAGAAGAAUAGACCAAUCCUUUUACUCCGUACUAGAUAAAAGCACACGCCAAAGGUGCGGUGUUUGGUCAAAGAUUUUCACCUCAGCUCGUUAAAGAACUGUAAUUUAGCGGCAACGACACGGCAUAUAGAGUAGAUAUAUGGUUCACGCCAUACCAAGCUUUGACGAUUUUCAAAUUACUAUUUUUCUUAUGGAGCAGGGUAUAGCAUAAUAUUUUGGGCUCCACGAAACUGUGGCACUAGCACUUUUAAUUGAAACAUAAUACAUCAUCAGCUGUCAUUCAAUUCCUUAAAAAAAAUUCUAUGAGGCCCCGUUUGGGUCCAAGGAAUUGGAAUCUAUUUAAUGGAGUAGGCUAAUUUAUGUUGGAAUGUGGCAUUCCACAACUUUCCAAAGUUUAGAUAUAAGCCUAUCUUAAAUUCAUGGGGUGGGAGAUGGAAAUUGAUUCUAUAGAUUAUGGUUAUUAGAAUGGAAUUCAAUUCUUAUAGCACGCUCUUAGACUCGCUUCUCUAUAGUAGAAGUGCAGCAUACAAGUAUCUCUCCCAUAUCACCAACUAUAAUAUACAACUAUAUUCCACAUACAAUUAUAUUAGCUUAAUUAAUUUGUGUCUAAAUUAUGAUUAUUAGGAUGGAAUUCAAUUCCAAUGAUCCAAACGGGGCCUGAGAGAUUUUGGAACAAAGGAUCGAAUUUCAUCAUUUAUUUUGAAUUUCCUAUGGAAUGGUCUGUUCCAUGGGAAUUUUGGAGGAAAAUCUCUGACUUAUUGUACCUUUCCUGUGAAAAAGGGAGGUCAACUCACUAAAAACUGUGUAAGCAGCCGAUCUGGAUUAACGGUAUAAUCAAGUGUACUGUGAUCCGUACUUUUCUGAAAUUUAUUUGCACGCGCGGUCAGCCAGCCACUCGUAGAGUGUAGUACCGUGUGCGAGACUGGGAGUCCUGGAUGGCGCAGCACGGCCGUGUAUCCAUCCAGAUUCCGGAUCGGGCGGCUGGACAGCAGCGUGAGGUCGCGCGGCGGCGGCACCGCUGGAUGCGACCGCCCGCAAGCCCGCGCGGCGUGCAGCAGCCUGCGUCCUCCCGACUCCAAACACCCGCGGCGGCAGAGGCCAGCAGCGGCAGCUAUUUAAAAAAUUCCGGCGCCCGCGCAGCCAGCUUCGAUGCCACGGCGCAGCAGCGACGGGCUUCCAUACUUCUUCCACCUCCCCGCAUAUAUCGCAACCGCCACCGGCCGUCCUCCUCCCCCAUCCAGCGAAGCAGAGUAGAGCAGCGGGCCGGGCUCAAGAAGCAGGGGAAGGAAAUACGCCGCGAGGAGUGAUCCAUCAACCAGCCAUGAAGCUCAGGCCGCUCUCUUUCACGCGGUGCCCGCCGUUGCCGCCGCUGGGGGGCGUGGGUUUGGGCGGAGGGAAGAGGAGGACGGUGCUGGUGGCCCUGCGCCGGGACGCCGCCGGUAGGGAGCUGCUCACCUGGGCGCUCGUCAAGGCCGCCGCCGCCGGCGACCGCGUCGUCGCGCUUCACGUCACCACCACCUCCGCCGCCGCCGCCGCCGCAGCGGCGGGAGGAAUGGCGGCGGAGGAGAAGGUGAGGACCCACGACUCGCUCACCUCCGUGCUCGGCGCGUACAGGGGCUUCUGCGACCGCAACCAGAUCGACCUGGAGCUCAAGCUCUGCGAGGGGCCGUCCAUCAAGAGGGCCCUGGUUGCCGAGGCCGCCUCCUCCGGCGCCGCGCACCUCAUCGUCGGCGUCACCAAGACCUCCAGGCCUUCCGGGUACCAAAUCACCUCACAUUUUUCCUUCGAAAUUCAUCAGGAGCUUCCCCGAUCCCUUCUUAUCCAAUUAGUAACUCUGUUCGUUUCAUCCGGUGAUCGAUCGUCAGAUCGUCCGCCACCGCCGUCGCGAGGUACUGCGCUAGGAGGGUGCCCCCGACCUGCAUGGUCACGGCGGUCAGCAACGGCGCCGUCGUCUACCGCAGGGACGCCGUCCAGCAGCAGCAGCUCAGCCCCUACACCGCAAGUACGCCCGGUUCCAUUCCAUCUGAAUUUAGCUCAAAUUUGUUCGGCUCAUCCGAAAUGCAUGGCUGAAAUUUGCUCGAUCGGCGCAGUGGUGGAGACGCCGCGGCGGUUGUACCGGAAGAUCCUCGACGCGAGAACGACGACGGGGGACAAGUCUCAGGACGACAUGCUGAUCGGCGACGGCCGGUCGCUGCGCCGGAACAUGUCCGUGGCCAUGAGCGCCCUGGUCUCGCCGAGGGUGACGUUCGCGCCGGGUCCGGCGAGGUGCCACGGGGUGGAGUCGCCGAAGAUGGCUGCCGGCUGGCCUUUCCUGAAGAAGGACAGCAUGCCUGCCUUGCCGGAAUCGUCAGAGAUAUCGGUGGUUCAGUGGGCGAUGCAGCUCCCGACCAGGUGUUCAGACAAGGUUUCUGACGAACGGGGAGAGGAGAAGCAACUUCCAGAGGAGUUGGUUUCACUCAGAGAGAAGUACUCAUCCAAAUCCAAGUACACAAUGUUCAGUUACCGUGAGCUAGCCAAGAUCACCAAUGGCUUCUCUCCAGGCAUGUCCGAUGUCUCCAUUUCAAUGCUGAAAAGUUCUCACAUCUCGCAACCGAUCUUUUUUUAAGAUAAAUCGAGCUGAAUGAUCAACGAUGACGAUGAACUGAUUAUCCUGUGCAGAACGGCUAGUCGGGAAAGGCGGUGCGGGCCGGGUUUACAAGGGAUGUACUGACGACGGCAAGGAGCUUGCAGUGAAGGUCCUGAAACCUUCGGACGACGUGACGAAGGACUUCAUCUCCGAGAUCGACAUCCUCAGCUCCUUUGAGCACAAGAAUGCCAUGUCCCUCGUCGGGUUCUGCGUCGACGGCGGCAGGCUUAUGCUCGUGUACGAUUACAUGCCGCGAGGCAGCCUCGAGGAGAUGCUGCACGGCGAGAAGCGAGGCAAGGGCGCGCUGGGCUGGCCGGAGAGGUUCAAGGUCGCCGUCGGCGCGGCGCGCGCCUUGGAGUCCCUCCACAGUGGCGGCGACCAUCGACCGGUCAUCCACAGGGACAUCAAGUCCUCGAACAUCCUCGUCGCCGAUGACUUCGAACCGAAGGUGACGACGACGGCAUUUCCCACAUUUCAGUAGUUGCAAAAGAAAUCUUCAGUCUUCAUGUGCAGCUGUGCGACACCAACUGAACUCCCUCUUCUCUGUGCAGCUGUGUGACUUCGGCCUCGCGAUGUGGGCAGACGAUGCGACGGCGCAGGUCACCGGCGACGACGUCGCCGGAACAUUCGGGUGCGCUUCCGAUCCGGUCGCCUUUGAUGAUCAUGUAACCCGAGGAUGUCUUUGACACUAUCACCUGACAAAUUUGGUGACCUCUAUCCUGUUCGUGGCAGAUACCUGGCUCCGGAGUACUUCAUGCACGGCAAGGUGAGCGACAAGAUCGACGUGUACGCGUUCGGCGUGGUACUCCUCGAGCUCAUCUCCGGGAGGAAGCCGGUGAGCGCCGGCGGGCCCAAGGGCCAGGAGAGCCUCGUGAUGUGGGCGAACUCCGUCAUACAAGGAGGCAAGCUCAUGGACCUCGUCGACCUGAGCCUGCCGCUGGCCGACGGCGACAGCGGCGAGGUCGAGAGGAUGGCCCUCGCCGCGGCCCUCUGCAUCCGGCGAGCGCAUCAACACCGGCCGAGCAUGAGCAAUGUAAUCAUCCCUCGCCAUUUUUUGAAUGAACCGAACAUUUGCAUUGUUCAUUUCUGAACUAACGCGCCGCUCGCUGCCCUGAACAUUAGGUGGUGAAGCUGCUCGCCGGCGACGGCGACGCCGUCAUGUGGGCGAAGUCGCAGGUCGGCGUGUCUGGCGGCAGUGAUCACGGUGGCUGCGGCGGCGUGGUCACUUCGCCGGACAAGAAUGACAUCCAGUCAUACAUCAACCUGGCGCUGCGUGACAUCAUCGACGACGACGCCUCGUCCGUGGGCAGCGCCGACUUCAUCGACGCCAACAUGUCCUUGGAGGAGUACCUCAAGGGGAGAUGGAGCCGGUCAUCAAGCUUCGACGGCUGAAGGCUCCACCAGUGCGGCGAUCACCAUUUUUGUGUGCAUAGAUCAUUCUUUUCGUUCUUCUUUUUGCCAACAGAUUCGUCACUGUAUAUUAAGGAGUACGUUUUUCUCUUUGUUGUUAGAUGGGAGGAUGCAUAUGAAAAUAUUCGAAAGCUAUGCAAUCCUUCAGUUUUGAAGUAUUCAUGAAAGAUUUAGAAUUUUCACCAGAUGAUGGAAGGGGGGAAGAAUCGAUAACGGCAAUUCCAAAUUGAUUCAAAGUUUUUCUUUCUUCGUGCAAGAGGGUCAAGUUCUAUAACUGGAACACCUUGUUCAUAGCCUACUCGGUUUUUUAAUUGCUGAACAUAUAUAGCCUACUCAAAUUGAUGCAAUAAAUUGCAUCAAUUUGAGUAGAGGAUCAAGUUCUUUAGCUGGAACACCCUAUUCGUAUAUAACUGAAUAUACAGCCUACUCAAAUUGACGCUUACAGCUCUACCGUUACAACCUAUACAGAAGAUAAUAAAACAAAAAAAAAUUAAGGAUGUCCCGUCCGUGUACGACGUGAUUGAAAAGUACACCUGAUGUCAACUGGUGCAGGCGUGAAGCACAACAAAUGAGGAAUCUGAACAUGCCAGUCCCAGAAAACUCAUCACAAGUCAACGAAAAUGCGAGGCGAAAUGUUGUAUGAUUAGGCGUUGGAGGAGCAAGUUGCCUCGCAAGCACAUGGAGCAAAAUGAUGUGGGUACAAUCAUACAAAGCACGACCUUCAAGCACAUGCAUGGGCUUAAGUUGUAUAUCUUGCGAAGCAGAGGCCAUCUUCAUAGUUUAAUUUGCUCCACAGUAGUAAUUUUUUUAAGCACAGAUUUAGUUUUAUUUUUUCUCUCUCGUUUGCUCGCAAAAGCAUUGGUUACUUCAUUUAUGAACGUGUUAGAUGUUAUAUGCAGUAUGCCAAGAAAAUGGUAGAUUCAGAACUGUUCUCAGUGCUGUGCUCCUGCAAAACUUUCAAAAAAAAAGAACUGUUCUCAAGCAGUGAAGGUACUCAAUCUUGGUAAACACAUGCUCAUUCACAUUAAGUAGCCAAAUCAAAAGUAGGGGCGGGACCUUGGCAAUUGAGAGGGGGCAUGCCUCAAGGGUUAGUAGAAUUUUUUGAAAAACUAUUAAUUAGCAAAGCUUAAAAUUUUUAAUUGAGGGCAUGUGUCCUCACUUGCUUGAACUCGGGUCUGCCCCUGAUCAGAUGUAUUGCAAAUAAAUUGCUAUAGAAUGCCUAUGAGCAUGGGAAUAAAAUAAUACACAUACCGGCACAAAAAUCUCAAAGCUUAGGUGGCCUGGAUAGUGAAAAGAGAAAAGGCAUAAGACUGCACUUCCUCCAUGUAUUGUUCCCUCUUAAGACAGCAUACUUCAGAGUGGGAAUUUCAGAAAGGACUCCUAUUUUGCCCUCAUUGAUAUUGGUUCCCAAUUCUGUGUUCUCUUCUGAAAAUCCUCAAGUACUACCCCUUACUCCAUUCUACUUUAAUUACACUUUUUUUAAAUUCCUUCUCCUUUUCUAUCCACGCCCGAAUCGAAUGUGGAUAACUAGUGGGAGCAUGCUUCUGCCCACUUUCCUGUAAAAACUUCACCAAUCAAAUAUCAAAUAAUAUGGAUGAAAAAGGUAGGGAGAGGGUAAUUCAUCAGUCUUGCACAGUUUAAUGGCUGAAUGUGCCAUCCUUGACAUACUGCUAGAUGCAUACACAGCUGAACACAACAAAAGAUUUGGAGCUCACCAAUAUCAGAUUAAAGAACUCCCCCACAGUUUCGCAUAAUAAAAGAAAAUUCAUAUUGAAGAUUGCCACAAAUAAAGCCAAUCACAAGCACAGGCUGGUUCCUCUCAACAUGUACAAACCUGACAUGAUUAACAGAUGUACCAACUGCUGGAAUUCAGCUCGCAUGGUUAUCAGUUUCUCCCUAUCUAAGAAAGAUGAUUGUGAGGACAAACUUACGACAUUCAUCCACAGACUGGAAUAUCAAGAUUCAGUUCAGCACACCAGAUCCUUGUGAAGGCAUCAUUGAUGCCAUUCGAAAACUAGAAAUUAAAAAUGUAUGAUGCUUGUAGUUGAGAUGUGAACAACCAUCUCUAAAUUACAUUAAUUUGGUGAGACUAAUACCCUUGAGUAGUAUGGAACAUAUGGCAAAAACAAGUGUUGACAGGGUUUCACUCCUCCAACAUCGCAGAUAACAUGCAUUUCCCUGCGGUUCAUAUCAUAGCACAUGAGCCUAUCCGAUGGUCGAUGGUAGAGGAAAAUCAAAUUACCGUCCGGAUGAAAUGCAACUGUUUGGUGCUCCUUUGGCCACCGCGAUUUCCUUGGUCCAAACAAAUCCAUCUUUCUGACGCUGUGCUUGACUGUAAACUCCUCGUUGACAUUGCCCUCAAGAACACAUAUUGACAGAGAAUCACCCGGCUGCUCAUCGUCCUCAUGAACGUAACGCAAGCGCCCUUGAGAAUGGCCAACGAAAACACAAGUGAUGUACGCACGGUCCUGGACUCGGGUGAUGAUAGAUCCUCCAUGUCUGGCCUUUGGUAUCCACCGCAGCAAUUACAUCCUCAAAGAAGGAGGUUAAAUACAGAAAACCUUUGAAGUAGGUCUUGUUGCCGGCGAAGAACACUAAUCGGUCCUUCCAUCCACUUAACCUCGAAAUCCAUGCACCAGUUUCAGACGAGUAAAUCUCCACCGCCCUGAUGACAUUGACAUUGUUGUACACCCACUUCUCCUCCAUCAGCUGAAAGACAUAGAAGCACGAGGAGACAGCCGGAUCGAAGCCCAACGCGGCAGAGGUGGUCUUGAGGCCACGCCCGUCUCGAUCACACUGCUGGCCAGGGGUCUGGCUUGGUUGGGGCAAGGCUACCCACUCCGCGGUGGCAGGGUUGCAGACGACGUAGCAAGGAUGCCGAUCGCCUUCUCCCGGGCAGCGCAGGAGCAGGAGCCCGUUGCAGGAGUCGAGGAUGUCGAUCUCGCCAUGGCUGGGUGGAAGGAAGGAGAGAGCCGUGUCGACCAAGGGAGGAGACUGCUGGAUGGCGAUGAAGCUCCAGGACGAGGGCGCGGAGGCGGAGUGCGGGCGGGAGAAGACGAAGAAGCCGGAGAGGGUGUGGGCGAACCUGGCGCGGUGGGCGGGGUCGGAGAUGAGGGCGCGCCAGGACUGGGAGACGCACUUGCACCGGCAGAGCGGCCCGGCCGGCAGCCGCGCGAGGAUCUCGACGAUCAGGUCGUCGGGGAGGCCGGCGGCGGCCUGGUUAGGGCUCCCCUUCUCCAUCAUCAGGGGUGAAACUCCUUGGAGAAGAUUGGGGAAGUCGAGAUUGAUCGAUUCCAAGGAACCAGUAGAGACGUAAUCUCUGCAAGGUAUCAAAUAGUAAUCCGUAGCCCCUGUAUUUGUAGGGUGCAGUGCAGCAAGUCAAGAAAAUUAUAUUGGGUCUGUUCGCUUCAGCUUAUAAGACGGCUGAAAAGCUGAAAUGGCUGAUUUGUUGUGAGAGGAAAACACUGUUUGGUGGCUGAUAAGCCAGCUAAAUAAGCUGAAGCGAACAGGCUCAUUAUUUCCUCACGAAAAUUGAUGAUCUUCCAAAAGUCGCACAGAUGAUUGGCCCACCUGUCAUGUCAGUGGAUUGGGGAUGCUAGAAAUAGGCUAAUCUUCGGUUAGUAUCAAUAAAUUAUACAUGUGUUCCGUUCCGAGACAUUUGAACCUCAGAGUUUCAAGUUUGUUUAAUUGCAACACUUGUGCAUAAUCCAUAUAGCCUAAUCAAAGUAACGCAUAUGUUUGACAUGAUAAAGUUGUACACUUGUCCCUAUGGUUGCAACUUGCAGAAGACAAACACAAACAGAAGUCGUGUAAGACAUGAUAUAAGUAGACUAAAUUAAGGUAUACUGAAUGUGUUAGUACUAGAAACAACUAGGGGCAUAAACCUAGUUCAGUGCAGGCAUAAGCACAAGGAAGCAUAUGUUAACAUGCCAGUCCCAAAAAGCCCAUCACAAGUCAACGAAAAUGCUAAGGUAAAAUGCUCCAUAGCAGCAUCAGGAAUUCAGGAUACGAUCACACAAGAACGAAUGUUGAUCUGAUCACUGCACUCGAAGGCCAGCAUUCUCAGGGUGACAAACAAAAGAUUAAUCAAAAGUUAUGUGUUAAACAGGAUAAAAAAAACAAAGGAAGCAGAAAAGCUGCUAGCGCUGGAAAACCAUUAUUAAUCAGUUUCAGAGACAGCAGUAUCUUCUUCGGAUCAGCACGUACGGAGUAACAUGCAAGUGUAAUGCAUUUCUUUGAAAAGGCAGUAGUAACAAUCAUGCACUGCUAAACGAAGAACAACCGAAAAACACAAACAUUUGACAACACAACAUUAUAGAUCCAAUUCACACCGAUAUACGAGUAAUUUUUAGUCAACAGUUAUAUUGCUUCCAAUAUCCGACUGCGUACAAGUUCAUAGUAGAUGCAACAUGCACCAUCACAUGAGAAAUCCUUAAUGUUCAUGAGCAAACCAAAUUCACAUCAUCAUGUCACAACCUGCCUCUCCUGGUGUAGAAGAAACAACAUACCACCGACACUCUAAGUUACUAAGAAACAGUAGUGUUUAUGGAGCAUGGCGUGUUCAAGUGGUUGUGUCAGUCUUCUCCA